rnacentral:lncRNA from 1 species
AAAGAAAAAGUUUUAGAGGUUGUGUUUAUGUAUUUGCUAAAAAAUAUAUAAUACAUGAUUAUGAUUAGAGGUUGAAAAGGAAGAGAUCGAGAUCUAAGAGAUUGAAACUAUUUACUAGAUUGUUUAUGGACAUUUAUAGAGUCAUGAGCGACACCAACUUGCAUGGAAACAAUGUUAGAAAUGGAAAAAAUAUUAUAAUACCUAUCUUAGAUAUCUUUUUUUUAGAUAAUAGCUUUUAAUUGUUAGUGGUUCAUAGUUAAGUGAAAAAGAAUGACAAAAUGAGAGUCAUAUUUUGACUAUAACACCAUUUCAUAGGCUAUGUAAUGGUAGAAUAAUGUGUGAAUAUUUAAAGCAUAUUUAUUUUAUUUUUAUAAUUGAUGUUGAGUUUAUUAAAUUCAACCAUAUAUAUACUUGAGGUGUAGUAGCUAGAUUCAGGAGUAUAAAUCCCAUUUAGAAGGAUAUAUAUGGAUAGUUCAUCGAGGGGGACUCAAUGUUAGUCUAGAUAGAUAUGAUGACAUGCAAUUAAUCUACUAGAGAGAGGAGAUGAGUGACAAAGUCUCGUUAAAGAGAAUGUGUGGCCAAGUCCCAUUAAGCGUGACACUUGGUCAUUCCUCUAAGAGGGAGAACACAUAAUUAGGUCAUGUCAGAUCUCCUGUAAGAAAACACAGCUUAGAACCUAUUUUUUAUAUAUAUUUUAAAAAAAAAUUUGAAAGAUUUUUAAUUUUAUUUAGUUUUUUAUUUUAAAUUAAUAUUGUUUUAGUUUUUUAGAUUAUUUUAAUAUACUGAUGUUAAAAAUAAUUUUCAUUUAAAUAUAUUUUCAAAUAAAAAAAUAAUUUAAAAAAUAAAUACUAUCUACCUCUUAUAUUUCCAUUUACCCUCUUGAAAAGGGAAACACAUUGAGUCCACCAAGAAGGUGGAAGCGUGACCAAUUCGUUAAAAAAGGAUGCACAGUGAGGUUAAAUUGUGUGGGGGAAGACACGUAGGCGGAUCCUCUCCAAGAGGAUGAAUAGUCAAGUCUUGCUGACGAGGGCCACCUAUUCACUCCACAAAGAAGGGUGGACGCGUGGGCAGUCCAUUGAUUUGAAGGGGACCACAAGAUUUGGCAAAUCCAAAUCUCAUCCCUCAUCAAUAUGGUAUUCCAUUAACGUUCUGCUGGAAGAUAGUAUCUACGGUGUCUGUACAAAUUAUAUUCUUUUUAUACUUUCAUUGACUAAAUAUUUUUAUUUCAUUGAGAUAUAAUUUUUAUUUUUAAUUAGCAAACCUUUUCCAACUAAUGCAACGAAACACGUUGGAUUUUUUUUAGCCCACGUUUCGCACACCAAGUGCUGUCUGGUAAUUAUCCUUUUCCGAUUUAACCAAAACCGGUACACAUAACUGGGAUCCUUAAAAGAAACUGGUCCGAAUUAACCAUUUAUUUUGGCUAUAAAUGACUGUCCACUUAUCUUUCCUUUCGUUUUUUUUUUGUCUUAACGUUAGAUUCAAAAGGUGAUUACGUUAAUUGAGGAACCAAUUGGGAGGGAAUGAAGAUUCUUCCCGGUUGAUGCGGGCACCAAUGGAGAGCCCAUCUUCUUUUUAUGGACAAGAACAUGGGGAUUGGUAAAGCAAAGCAAGAACAUCUGCCAUUGGCAAAGACCUUCAUGUCCUGUUUUCCCUUUCCCUUUUCGGGCCCCUCAAUUUCUGACUUAUGUCUUGCGCAGUGCUCUGUUCUUACAGCAUCCAGUUUUCACUGUAGGGCUUCCUUGGACUUCAAAAUCAUAUUCCAAGUGUCCUCCUCCAGGCAAUUAGAUAAUCUUAAAUCAAUAUCUUUUAUGUGAUGAAGUUAAAAAUAGUCUUUAAAAAAUAAAAAUAAAAAAUAUUUAAAAUAAUCUUACAAAAUCUAUUGAUAAACUGAAUAUACGUGGCUCUCCAUACCAGUUGUAGGCACUUUAUUCUUUUUUUAUCUAGGAAUAAAAACUUUGUGAUUCCCGUCUUUGAAAUUUUGUUCAAAAGCACUGGAUGUGUAUAUUCUUUUCCUCAACGGCAUGCAAAGCGGAACAUGGAACAUUACUUUGGAUUAAAAAAAGACAAACUAGAUAUGUACCCCUUACUUAUAUAUGAUAUCUUAAUUUAGCGCUCUAAAUUCUAAUUUUAACAAUGUCACCCUUGAACUAGCAUGAUUAUUAUAAUGCGUCAACAUCCCUCUAGUUUCCCAUCAAAACACUUCGAUUGAUGAAAAUAAACUGAAGAAUAAUAUAUAUUAUUGGAAUUGGAGGUCAGAUGCUUUGUGGAUUUGCGCUGUUGGGAUUUCAUCUUUGUCAAUCAAAGUAUGCAGAAGGGUAAAUUGCACAUCUUUGAUAACAUAAAGGACUAUUCUAGCGAGUGAACAUGUAGUUUUCCCCCAAAAUGAAGAGAAAAGCAGAACGUCCUUCUCUAUCUUUACAACAGUUUCGUGUAGAGCAUCCAUCUAUUGGAUAAAGCUUCAGGUUGCUUUGGCUGGCAUGUAUUUUUCUAAAGGAAAAAAAGUAAAGAAAAAAAACAUGCUGAUGUAUUUGAAGUGUUUUUUUUCAAGGCAACUAAUUCUCAAAUAAGUUUAUUGGUUAAUUUAAUUAAUGAUGAGUUUUGCUUGGAAUGAUCUUAAAGACAUAUAGGGUUUUUUUGGAAGGAUAACUAUGAUUAUUUUUUAAAAUAUUUUUUAUGUCGAAAUGCAUCAAAAUAAUUUUUUUUAUUUUAAAAAUAUUAUUUUUAAUAUCAGUGUAUCAAAAUAAUUAAAAAUAAAAAAAAAAUUAAAAAUUUUAAAAAGACAUUUAGAAAUUAUAACCAUAUUUCCAAAUCGGAUGAAAAUCUUCUAUUAAUUUCAAAAUUUGAAUACAGAAAAUAAAAAGAAAAACAUCAAAUUUCCUUGCACCCAACAACCUCUUAAAGUUCAUACUAGGAGAUUAUGAUUGGCGGAAUAAUCGUCCCAUUUUUUCAGUGAAAACAAAAAAGAAAAAUUCCUCAUCAAAAAGAGAAAAGUUGUUUGGACUCAUGGAUGAAAAUCACUUUUCUGGACCGAAACACGACUUAGGAAUCAGGAGUCGGGACUUGGUCUUGGAGCAUUCUUCCAUGCAUCCAGAUUCUCCAAUAAAAUUUAUAAAUUUUCAAGUAUUUCUGCCCAAGUAAAUUACAUAAAAUGGCUUUGAGUGCGGCUUGAAAUUGCGUUUUAACCUGUGUUUAUAAAAAAAUUAAAAAAAUUAAUUUUAAUUUUUUGAUCGUUUUGACAUAUUAAUAUUAAAAAUAAUUUUUAAAAAAUAAAAAAAUUAUUAUUUUAAUACAUUUUUAAGCAAAAAAAUACUUAAAAAAACAACAGCUACUACACCUUCGAACACUUCCCUUUCACUAGUUACCUGGCCACCAAUUUGGAUCAAAAUUAUUUUUAUUGACAUAAAAAUCAAAUUGCAACUAUUAUCAAUGUAUUUUCUAAAAUGUAUAUAUUUAAUAAAAUUGAUAUGCAUUAACAUAUAUCAAUGUUAUUAAAAUGCUAGUUAUUAACCAACUUAAAUCUUGUAAUUUAAACUAAGUGAGAGUUGAAUUAAUAUGAUAUAGUCAUUUUGACAAGUCCAGUAACAACCAUUAGACCUCAUCAAAACAAGGAUUGACUAAAAAAAAUUAUAGACACUACCAUUUUUUUUUAUUUUUUAUAAAUAUUAACAUGACCGUGUUCUUGAUGGAUUCGAGUCUCAAGGCAUGGCCCAACUAAGUUGGCUAACCAGUGCAAAACCCAGUUUGCUUUAAAAUAAUAAUAAUAAUAAAGCAACGCUGAUCCAAUGUUUUUUUUAUAAAGAAAAUAUCGGGAUGACAACGUUUUUUAUGGAUUCAGGUCAAUUCGGGUUAAUCUGUCUAACCCGUGACGACCUAAGUCCUAGUCCUUACUGGAUUUAAUAACUUUGUCUUUUGAAAUUUAGUUUUUAUUUAAUUGAACGAUUAACAAUAUAAAAAUACAAGGGAGAGUUUUAAUUGAAAUUUAAACAAAAAAUAAUGUAAAAUUAAAAAAAUAUAUAAAAAAGAAAUGGUUGACUAAAAAUAUAAAGGCGAGAAACUCAAGCCCAUAUACGUCUUAACCUUGAAAAGGUAAAUAAAUAUGCAUCGUCCGUAAGCCUAGAAUCCUACCACUCUAAAAAUUCAUUUUAAACAUAUUUUUACUCAAAAGAACACCUUUAAAACAUUUAUAAACAACUUACCAAUCACAAAACUCCAUAAAAAAAAAAUAAUCUAAACGUAAUUUGAUUUAUAUUUCCAUGCUUGUUUAUAGAAAAAAUCAUUAUUAUUGAACUUCUUUUAUUAAAUGAAACCUAUUGUUACUAAGUUCUGUUAUUUAUUUGCUGAAUUAUUGCAAACUAAUACGUUCAUAGACAACUUAUCUAUUACAGAACUCCUUAAAAAAAAAAAUCUAAACACAAUUCGACCUAUACUUCCAGGCUUAUUUAUAGAAAAAAAUAAAUUAGUAUCACUGGACUUCUCUCAUUAAAUGGAACAUAUUAAUCCUAAGAUUUGUUAUUUUUUUGCCAAACUAUUGCAAAUUGAUAAUUUUUUUCUAUAUCACUAUAAUCUGUCAGCUUUCUCUCUUCUCUCUCGGAUGAUGAGUUAAAAAAAUAAAAAUAAAAAAUUUGAAUCAAAAUGAACUUUUUAAAAAAAUAAAGGGAUUAUACUAAAAAUAUAAAAAUAAAAGGAUUAGAAAAAACUUUGUCAUGCUAAUUUUAUGAUUUGUUGUUUUACACUUUCAUUAGAUAUUUUUUUUAUCGAGUUAUUUUUAUAAUAAAUCAUAAAAAAAUCAGUUACUAGGCUGAUAAAAAUAGGAUCCAAUUAAAUAAUUCAAAAAAGAGAGAAGAAAUUGUGUCAAUCUACAGUUCAAAUGACUGUUACUUUUAUUUUAUCCUUUGCCCUUUAAAAAAAAGAAUCGUAUCGUUGCUUGGCAUUUCUUCUACUCCUUCUUCCUUUUGUUAUAAUAUUGAUGCUAAGCAGCCCCUCGUUAUGAUUAAAAGGGCAUUAAUAUAAUUCCCAGAUAAUUUGAUCAGCGGUGGGGUAUAUAGGGUCCCCUAGGUAUCGAGACUUUCUCCACCCAAAGCACUGCACAUGAGCCCUGCUGAAGGGUUGCUUUUUGACCCCUGUCGCCUCGUAGAUCCCACCUCUGACAUAAAUCAUGCAUGGUGGUAGGGUCAUUUUCAUUAGCCUUUUGUCAAAUUUUACAUGCCCGUAAGCGUAACAAGUCAUCUCUCCUGAAUUUCAACCAAAAUGCAUGUAUAUUAUGGAGGAUAUAUGAUUAUAAAUACCGCAAAAGUCAAGGUUUCUUUGCUGGAGAUGCCCUCUUUCUCUCCUCGAAACUUAUCCAGAAUGGGACAGCAUCACUGGAGCUAUUAUUGUAAUGUCAGCUAUCCUUUUCCUCUGUUUCGAUUCUUAACUGCAGCUGAAAGUCUGAGUCCGCGUUCACAAAUGGAAGCAAGCAUUGUCGCUAGAUACUCCAUUAAAGUUAUGGCUCUGGUCUCCGGUGUACCGGUUGUUCUUCACGUCAUGGUUCCAGUCGUAUUAAAAAAUCACGAAAUACAGUUUUAACUGCAAAAAGAAACAGCCUCUCAGCCGGAAGUCCUACUCUCAGGAUCAACACUUAGGUCCCUACGCAAGGGAUUGGGAGAGAAGGCUGCAAGUGCUGCGGUUCACAUUCAUGUUGUUAUUUUGUAGGAUUUCUUUUCAUAUAUAAAUAGAAGGUGCAUUUACACUUCUUCUUCUUCAAGUAUAAUAUAUGUUCCUGCAUGGUGCCAUGUAAAACGCCCUGUAUAUGUAAUUUGAUGAGAAGAUACCAAAUAUAUAUAUAUAAUUACAAGGCAGCGAGCGUGAUAAAAGUAAAUAAAAUAGUAGUACUAAAUAAUUAAUAAAAUAAAAUUGAAGCUGAUCCAUUUAGAUAUAUCCCCUUUUCGAUUCUAGAAAAAAAAAAAAAAAAGCUUUGUAGGGCAUUCAUGUUAUUAUUAGAAGAUAUAUGACUAUAUGAGCUUUAAUAUUUUGCGUUGAUUAAUAUACAGUCAAAUACCCGAAAAAUAUUAAUUGUGUUUUUCAUAUUUAUACAUAUUCUUGCGAACAUAAUUAAUUAGAUAUAGAUAUAUUAAUUAAUUCUUUCAUGCCAUUACAUAUUUUGAAGAAUUUUCUAGUGCAUAUAUAGAAACAUAUCUUCAAAAAUAAAAUAAAAUUUAGUAACAUAUCUUCACCUCAAAUUAUAACCAACUAGUCUAUUAACAGUAAAAUUCUGUUUGAAAAUAUAAUUGUGAUUGUUUUUUAAAGUAUUUUUUAUACUAAAAUACAUAAAAAUAAUAUUUUUUUUAUUUUUAAAAAAUUAAUUUUAAAAUUAGCAUAUCAUAACGAUUUAAAAUAUAUAAAAAUUUUAAUUUUUAAUAAAAAAUUAAUUUUUUAUAAAAUAUAAUUUAUUUUAUAUUUUCAAACGACCGAUUUAGUUUAUUAGAAGGACUUAAAAAACGUGGGGAAAGUAUUGUUUCCCCACGCUCUAUAACUAAGUUUCAUCGGCAAUGUGGAUUAAGUGUGUCAGCGAGUUUUUUUAACCUCUUUUUUUUUUUUAUCUUGUCUUUUAUGGGCUUGAUUUGGAGGCUAAUUUGGCUAAAAUUAUUAACAAAUAACAAAAUUGAAUGACAUGGAAUUAAAAUGAAACACGUGAGGAAGAAUAACGGCGGUGUUUUAGUUAGAAACUUUUUUAGGAAUGUUUACCUUAGUCUUUGUGUCCCUGAAGUUAUAGAAAAAUUAAUUUUGAUUAAUUUUUUUUUUAAUUCUUGAUUUGAGAAAUAAAAAAAUUAUUGAAUUUCAACAAUAAAAAAUAAUAAUAUUAAUAUUAAUUCUGAUCACCAAAAUAAUUAAUAUUUUUUUUAUAUAAUAAGAUGAGUUUAACUUAAAUUUUAUUUAAUAUUAAAAGUGCUUAAAAACUAAAUUUGAGUUCGGGAAGAUUUUUGAGUUUUAGAUAAUUUUAGAUUUUGGGAUAGUUUUAUAGAGUUUUUAAGAUUAUAAAUUAGUUUAAAAAGAUUUAAUGAUAUUUUAAUUAAAAAAUAAAAUUUAAAAUACUUUCUAGUUUGAAAAAAACCAAAAUCAGCUCUUCGAAUUUAAAUGACUCACAGCAAGAUGCAAUUGGAAGCUGCAUUGGCCUGAGUGCAUGCCAUCAUCAAAUCAAAGUACUGUCAAACUAAUUGGGGCCCUCCGGGGACCGGCAAAACAAAGAUGGUUGGUUUAUUAUUGUUUUGUCUACUUAAGUUGAAGUGUAGGACCCUUACAUCUGGGCACAGUCAGACAAUACAUCAUUUAACUUUUUUUUUUUUUUUUAAAUAUCUAAAACAGACGACAUGUUAUUAUUUUAUUUAUAUAACAAAAAUAAUAAUUAGUGCCCAAGCACGUUAACCUUACUAAAUUUACCAAACCUAACAGUGCAUGGCAUUUUCCUAUCUCUUUUUUCUUUUUAUUUAUGCCUUUUUAUGUCUUUUUUCCAAAAUAAUUUUUUGUUGUGGAUUUAAAUUAAUAAUCAUUCUCUUUUUUAUUUAUAAGUUUUUAAAUAGCAUUUAUUUUUUAAUUAUUUUGUAUGCAUUUUAUUUUUGAAAAUAAUCAUUCUAAUUCAUCUAUAAUUUUUUUUAUGCUUUAUAUGAAUAGAUAAUAUUUAUUUUGUUAUAAUAUUUAUAGAAUGUAUAACCUUCUAUAAUAUAUUUUUUUAUUUUAUUCCACAAGUUUUAUAUCUAUUCUUAAUUUUUUAUUAUCAUUUGAUUAAAUAAAAAUUUAAUUCUGGUAAACAAAACUAUUAAACACAGACAGGUCAAAACCCUGUAUUGUAAGAAUAAAUAUCAUUACUUAUAUAUGUUUCUUGAUUUUUUUAUUUUUGUUUUUUUUUAUCUUUAAUGAUUGUUUUUUUUAAUUUAUUAGCACACAUAUUUCUUGAUUUAUUUAAUUAUAUAUAUAUAUAUAUAUGCAUGAUUUUUUAUAUUUACAUUUUAAAUUUUUUUAUAUAGAAAAAUAUAUUGAAAAAACAUGCAUUUAUAACAUUUUUUUUUAGUAAAAAAACAUCUAGCUCACAUUAAGCACAAGUCAAAUGACUUAUUAGUGACAUCUAAGACUAAUUUGGUUGAGGCAGAAAGAACGUUUUACAAUAUAUAUUUUUACUAUAUUUAGUUAAUUAAUUAAUGUAAUUUGAAAUUACUUUUAACCAGAGCCAGAGAGGACCACCAUUUGAUGAUUCCUUACUUUUGUGGAGGAGAAAUAGGGUGCUGUUAAAAGUGGAUACGCAUGCCCCUCGGGGCAUAAAAACUAAUCCUAAAUGUUGGAACAGAAGGAAAAUUCCAAUGUGCUUGGAUUGCGGAGGGGAAGCUUUUUCUUGAUUUUCAAAAUGUUGUUUGCUUCGAUUGCGCAAAUUCCUAACCUCGGCACUCGCUUAAAGACAGAUAAACUAAACUAAAGUAAUCUGUUUUUCAAAGCAGCUUCUCGAGGUUGUUGGUCAAACUCAAUAUUUAGUAUAUUGUCUUAUAACUUUCUCCCAUGUGUAAUUAAAUAAUAAUGAAAAUAAAACUAUUGCAACCAAGAUUUGAUUUAAUUUACGGAGAUCCAGUACUGUUUUAUGUUAAAAAUUAAUUUAAUCAAAUAAAAGUAGAUGAUGUGGUUUGAACUCCUCGUUAUCUAAUUAAAAAUAUCUUGUUAUCAUAUAAAAAAUCAUUUCAACUUAAAAAAUUUAAAUUAUUAUGUGAGUUUCAAUAUAUAGUAUAAGAUUGUUUUUGAUGAAGACUUGAAAAAAAAUUAGACAUAAAUUGAACUUUUCAUGACUCUAUCCUAGGUUAAUGGUGAUGGAGUGAUGAGUUGGCUUCCGGCUCAUGGGCUUGGCUAGGUGGCUAAAUAUUCGUCUAAAAUAACAAAUCCUCUAAAGAAUAGACAACUCUCAUUUGCUUAAGUUGAUAAAUAUAGGAGGAUGGAAUAAUAUAUGAAAAAAAUAAAGAUAUAGAUAAUGCGUGUAACUUGUGUGUAUGUGUUGGCUAGAAAUUGUAUAGCCUAAAUUGGCCCUGGCAGUAAAUGCUCUAAUUUUUUUGUGGCUAAAACUUGUGUGGCAUGGUCUAGCAUGCCUGGCUUUGUAUGGCUAUUUAUAGUUAUAUGUGGCCAAUGAUGGGAUCUUGAUUUUAGUUGGUGACAAGGUGUACUUGUACAUCAAAAUCUUGAACUUUCUUCAUGGAAAAAGAGACGUAUCAUUGGUGAAAAAUUGGUGUGAUACCAUUAGCUAGCCAUGGUGGCUUCGUUGGUCGUUAUGUCAUGCCAUGAUUGUCAUGUCAUGAACAUUAUAAUUAUAAAUGUUUGUGAUGAGCAAUGUCAUUGUCAUAAAACAUAAUGUUUGCUUUGUAUAGAAAAAGUUAUGAGUGUAUCAAGUAAAUUAUAUACAUUGAUAUUGGGAACUUAAACAAUGCAUAAAAAGGUGUGUCAUGAUACGAUUAAACAGAUCAUAGUGGGUGUCAAGCUAAAAUUUUAGUUAUUUAGGUUGACCAAAACAACUAGAAGGAUUUUAACCAUUUAGGGGAGGCCUAAAUGACUGAGUUUUUUUUUUUUUUUAAAUAUGUAUUAUUAUUUAGCCCCUGAAUUUUUUAAAUAAUCAUGUUUAGAAGAUUUUAACCAAUAAAAGUGAGAGAAGAAAAUACUUAUUGUAUAAAUAUUAUUUUUGUAGCUAUAUUUGAAUGAAAAAUGUUUCCUUUGUGGCUAUGCUUUUAUGGUGUUUCCUUAAUGAGAAAUGAGUGAUUGCCUUUUAUGGAUUUUGUUAACAUUAGAGUUUUACAUAUAAGAAAGAUGAUAUUUUAUCAAGUUUUAAUAGAGAACAUUAUUAUCUAGAAAAUAAAAAUGUUUUGUUAUCAUGAAAGCAAUGUUAAAUUAUUGUGUAAAGAGAUACUGUAUAAGGAUGUGGAGAUUGCAAAGGAGACUUUUCAUGAAGUCAUGAAUGGAGUUUUCAAUAAAGACAUAUGACAUGGAGAACUUAAUAGAGAUAUGAAGAACUUUUCAUGGAGUCAUGAAGAUUUUAAUUGAAAUAUGAAGAUCUAGUUGUAGAUAUUAUUUUCAUGGAGAUAUAUUUGGAGAUGUGAAGAAUUUAAUAGAGACAUUAAGAUCUCGUUAUAGAGAUUCUUUAAGGUGUCACUUAAGACAUGAAGAAGGCUUUUUUUUUAUUAUUAUUCAAAAAGUCUAAAAGAAAAAGAUUUAGUUUUGAAAUUAUUUGACCUAUGGUAGUGUAUCAUAAUGAUAUUUUUCUAUUUGUUCAUGUUAUCUUUUUCUUCAUAAAUUAUUGAAGGUAUUCUUUAAAGAUAAAUCUUUCAAUCUCUUUUUUCAGGGCAUGACAUUCUUCAAUGUUAUGAUUUUUAUUGCUAUGAUAAUAACAUAACUUGUUAGAAUUUCCUGUGUUUGUGCCAAUUUGCAUUGGAGGUGGAUACAACACAAAAUCCUUUCUUUGAAUGACAACAAACACCUUAGAAUGUUUAAUGAUAAGAGAUAUGAUUAGGAGCUCAUGAAAUGUCAAACAGUGAUGAGUGGCUGCCUUAGAGCUCCUUUUGAAUGAUGCCUUGGUAGGAGAUUGAUGGCGCUAUGGAGAUUCUACUAUUUUAAAAACGAGUGUUUUUUUUUUGUGAAACUUGCUUUUUUUACUUGAAUAUGGUUCUACAUUGCUUGUUUUCUAUUAAGCAUAUUCAUGUUAGGGAGAGUAUAUAGGUGUUUCUAUAAUAAGUUGGUGUAGACUCCUAUAAGAGAUCUGGAUAUGGCUCUCCUUUUAGGUAUGAAAGGAAAAUGAAAGGGCAUCUCUCUAGCUUGGAGAGGAAGAGUCAAAAAUAAAUUAUAGAUUAUAAGAAGGGGUAUGAUGGUAAGGAUGUAAGGAAGGUAUACGUGGAUAGUUGAAAUCUACCAGGGCACAAGAGCUUGACAACAUUUUAUUAAAAAAGACAGAGUCAAUAACCGUCCAGAUUCUCAUCCAAUUUCAAAUUCAAACCUUGAUUUAUUUCUUUAAAAUAGUUUCAUUAUAAAUUCAAUUAAUAAGGACACUCAUUAUAUCAAAUAUGUUUCGAACAAAUCCUUUAGAUUUUUGGAGGCUCGGGCUACCUUUAAUUUGCCUAGAGAUUUUCUUUUAUUCUUUCUCAAUUAUAUUUCAAUUUAGAUCUCUGUUUUUCAAUCAAGUUAUUGGUUGUGAUUCCAGUAAUUCAAAUUCAGCAAGAAGUAAUAAAUUUAAUUUUAUCCAUUUAAGUUUAUUAUAGAUGGUAUUAGAGUCUAUCUUUCUCAAGCAAUUAUGGCUAAUGGAACACAUAUAUCUAAAUUGUUAGAAAUAAUAGCAAACAUAAAAGCUUAAUAGGAAUAGCAAUAACAAUAACAACAACAAUAUUCAUAACAACGGGUACAAGAAGAAUUGAUACAAUAAUUACACAACAUUUCAGCUAAGGCUGAUCAACUAGCCAAAGUACAAGGAAAAAGACUCAUAAAGUCUCUCCUUAACACUCCAUUAAUAUUUAUUAAUUAAUGGACAUUGUCAUAAUGAAAUGAAGCCACUAAGAGAUCACUAGUUAGUUCAGGGUAGACUUGUUAGAUUGGAUUUUCCUAGAUUUAAUAGAGAAGAUCCUUUAGAAUAGGUUUAUAAAGCUAAUUGUUUUUUAAAAUUUCAUAACACAUAAAUCAAACACAAUGAAGGUAACUAGUUUUGGAGUUUUCACCUGUGAUGAUCUUAUGAAAGUACUGAUAUAUCUUAAAUAGAAGUCUACAAUAAAGGAAUAUAAAAUUCAUUUUGAGUUGAUUUCAAACAAGGUGAGAGGGUUAUCUAAUAUAUUUAGACUUGGUUCUUUUUUUGAAGGACUUUGAGAAUUCUUAACCACCCAAUUUCAUGGUAACUUAUAGGUUAGGCUGUAUGAAAAAAGAGAACUUGAAGACCAUAAAGAGGUAUUAGAUUUUUAAUAUCAAUUCUGGGAUGGCAAGUUUAACUUUUUCAACCCAUUCAAAAAUUAGGAAUAAAUUAUGUUUACCUAUAAAAAGGCUAACCCUGACCUAAUUAAAAGAAAAGCAAGAAAAAAAGCUUGCAUUUUUGGAGUAAUAAUAAUUCAUAAAUUUAAAGUCUCAAGAAUAUUUUUAAUUGAAGACAUGAAAGAUGAGGUGGAAGAAAAAGGAAAUAUGAACACAAUAAGAAAUCUAAUUGAUUUUUUGUUGACUUCUUAACAACAGUGAGGAGGUUGAAAUCUCAUUGCAUGUUGUGGUUGGUAGUCCUAGUCCUAGGAAUAUGGGUACAUGCAAAAUUUAACAAAUAAUAUUGGGUUAUUCUUGUUAAUGUAUGAAGCACUCAUUUAUGUACCUAGAGGUGUAAAAAGAGUUGGAUUAAAAGUUCAAUCACAUUCUCCAAUUAGGGUCAAAAUAGCAUAUGACAUUCGACUACAAAGUGAUGGAAGGUGUUUCGAAGUUAGGCUAGAGAUUUAAAGAUAUAAGUUUUUAAUACAAGCUCUAAUAAUACAACUUGGUAGGUAUGAUAUGGUCAUAAGGAUUCAUUAGCUUAAAGCCCAUUUUAUAUGAUUUUAUAUCAUUAAUUAUGGUUUUUAAAAUUGAUGGGCUUCCUAUGGAGUUAAAAAGGGUUGGAGCCUAAAAGUCCAAAAUUGAUUAGGAGUCAAAGUUUAUUCAAAAGCUUAAAACAGAGGCAAAUAGUCUGAUUUUGCAAAUAUAGGCCCAUGAAAUAAAGUCCCAAUCAGAGGUACCAGUUCAAAUACAUGACUUACUUAUAAAGUUCCAUGAAGUGUUUAAAGAACCUAGGGAACUAUCGCAUACUAGAAGUUAUGAUCAUACUAUAGUUUUGAAGGAAGAAACUUCACCUAUAAAUCUUCACCUUUACCGAUACCUAUACUAUCAGAAGAAAGAAAUUGAGAACAUGGUAAAAUAUUUACUAGAGUCUAGAGCAAUAUGACUUAUUCAAAUUCCUUUCUCUUCGCUUGUCUUAUUUAUAAGAAAGGCAAAUGACUCUUAGAGGAUGUGUACAAACUACCAUGCCCUUAAUAAAGAGACCAUCAAGGAUAAAUCACCAGUUCUAGUUAUGGAGGAACUUCUAGAUGAAUUACAUGCGUCUACUUAUUUUCUAAGCUUGAUCUAUAUUCAGGUUACUAUCAGAUUUGGAUGAAGGAUGAAGAUAUACUUAAAAUAAUUUUUAGGACACAUAAGGGGCAUUAUGAAUUUGUAGUAAUACUUUUUGGGUUGACUAAUACCUCUUUAACUUUUCAAGCCUUGAUGGAUGAGGUAUUUAAACCCUAAGCUUAUUUUAGUUUUUUUUUUUAAUGAUAUUUUGGUUUGUAGCGAGUGUGAAGAGGAUCAUGUGGAUUAGUUUAGGAUCGUUCGAGCAUAAAUUAUAUGCUAAAAAACUAUAAGUCCAUUUUUAAUCCACUAACUAAUUUGUUAAAAAAAAAAAAAGCUUUCAAAUAGGAAAGUGAAGCUAAACAGACAUUUGAUAGACUCAAUAAGGCAGUUACCAAGCCUCUUAUUUUGGUUCUACAGGAUUUCUCAAAAGUAUUUACAGUAAAGUAUGAUGCUUUAAAGAGAGAUAUGGGGGCGGUACUAAUGCAAAAAAAAAAAAAAACUAUUGCCUAUUUUAGUAAAAGACUUAAAAGAAAGGAACGAUGAUUAUCUACCUAUGAGAAAGAGUUCUAGCCAUAGUAUUGAUAGUACAAAAUGAAGGCUAUACUUGAACUUUAACAUAAAUCUGAUCAACACAAUUUAAAGUUUAAUAGAGUAGAAAAUUAGAAGUCUAACUCAAUAGAAAUGAAUUACUAAACUUGUCUCUUUACCUUAAUGGAUAAGGAGAAUAUUAUUAAUGGAUAAGGUAUUUAAUUUUUCCGUUUUAACUUUUAGAAAAUUAGAGAUAUAAUAGCUUAUAGCUCUUUAUCAUGUUCCUUCAUGAAACCAAAGUUGUCUUUUUUACCUCUAGUACAUGUAAUGGAGUUGUAUUUUAUAUUUUCUUUUGAUGAAAUACAAGGAUACGAUGCUGUUCUUGUAUAGCUAGAACAACAUUGUUAAGCACUUGCAUUUGAUGUGAGAGUUAUUAAAGAGCUUGAGUUUAUCUAGUAAGAAGAUUAAUUACUCUUUUUUUUUUUCUGGAGUUUUAUCAGCCAUGGAAAAAUAUCGUAGGUCAAAGGGAAUGGAUUCACUUUUUUAGUUUCCCAUAAAUAAUGUCAGUGAUAAAGUCGUGAAAACACUGUAGAUGGAAAUUGAACGUCUAUGGCUGUUUCCUAGGUUAAUGGUGAUGGAGUGUUGGGCUGGCCUCUAGUCAAUAAGUUUGGUUUGAUGGCUAGAUGUUUUCCUGAAAAGACAAGUCUCUUGAAGAAUAAAUAACUUUUCUAUGCUUAAAUUACUAAAUGUAAGAGGAUAAAAUAAUGGAUAAAAAGAGAAAAAUAAAAUGAAGUUGUAGAAAAUGUGUAUUUGAGGUGUAGCUUAUGUAUGUGUUGGCUAGAAAUUGUAUAGUAUGGUCUGACUGUGGUUGUGAAUGCUCUAACUUUUUGUGGCAAUAAAUUAUUUGUUUUUGCGUUUCAAAAGUGUUUUUGAAAAAAAUUUAAUUUUUUUUUCUUACUUUAAAUUAAUUUUCUUAGUAUUUUCAUAUCAUUUUGAUAUGCUGAUGUUAAAAAUAAUUUUUUUUUUAAAUAUUAUUUUGAUACAUUUCAAAAUAAAAACAUUUUGAAAAACAACUAUUAUCAUAGUACCAAACGAGCUUUAACUUUUUAUGGCUAUCUAUAGCUCAAUGUGGCCAAGGAUAAAAUUUGGAUUUUGGUUGGUGACUAGAUGUAUUUAAACAUCUAUAUCUUCAGCUUUUUUUAAUAGAGAAAUAGACAUAUCAUUGGUUUAAAAAUUGGCAUGGUAUUACUGGCUAGUCAUGGUGACUUUAUUGGUUGUUGUGCCAUACCUGGAUUGUGUGUUGCACAUCAUUGGUGAAAAUAGUAAUGAUAAAUAAUGUUAUUGAUGUAGAAAAUAGUGUAUGUUUUAUAUAAAAAAAAAGGAGUUGAACAGUAUGCCAGGACAUAAUUGAACAGUCAGGAUUUGAGUUGAUGCUGAAUUGAAAUUCCUGCCAUUUAAGUUGUCCUAAAUGAUUGAAAUUUAUUUUAUUUUUGUUUAUUAUCAUUCUCAUUAUUUAAUGAAUAAGAAUUAUAAGGUUUUAAUUAAGUUUAAGAUGAUAAUAUUUGGUCGUCCACAAGAAACUUGUUGCUCAAUAUAAUUAUCAUUGUUGUUAUUUUAUUCAAACCAUUGAAUGGGGAUUGUGACUAAUUUUGCAUAGAAUGGAUACGAUUGUCUAAAGAAAAUCCUCUCAUUGUGUGAAAAUGUAACAUAAGGGGCAGUAAAUAUUUUUACUAAAAUUUAUUUACUAAAUGACACAACUAAGAAUUACAAAUGAUAAAAUGUAGGUCUCAUCAUAUUUAAUUAAGUAAUUAUAAUUAUAAAAUUCAGUAAUCAAUAAAAUAUAAAUGGUAGAGGUUUUAUCAAAUAAUAAAUAAUUUUAGUAAUUUUUUUUAAAUACUAAUAUAUAUUUUGUAAUUAUUAUUGUUUUUUAAAAAGGGUUACCUAUAAUUAGUAAAUGUUAAUGCUUCCAAGGAAACAGAGCCUUCAUGCAAAAUAAUUACGGCCCAAUCAAUGCAGUAGUAGAUAGAGGAGGCCCUAAAACGAGCUAGGCCCAAUUUGUUUAAACGUUAGAAAACCUGUAGCCCAGACUAGCAAUUGAAUGAUAUAAUUCAAAGUGGAGUUGGAUUGAAACAACAAAAACCUCAAACAUAAAACACAAAAUUUAUCAUCAUUGGAACUGAAAUUAAUUGAUGAGACGAUAAUACUAAAAUUUGUUUUGUUUUGUUUUUUUUAACUAUAUUUGCGCAAAGGGCUGGAAAUUAUGUAUACCAGGCUCGCUAAAACAAAGAAAAAUAAUUUGAUUUUCAAAAUUAAUUUAAAAUUAAAUAAAAAAAAACUAAAAUAAAAGAUGUUUUUACAGUUCAUCAAUUAACAAAAUACUAUUCAUUGCAAGAAUAUUUUCUUUUUUUUCCUUGCAUUUCUUUUUUAAAAAUAUAUUUCUUACUUAAUUUCUUGGAGAUUGAGCUUUAUGAUUUGUUACGGUUUACUUUCUAUAAGAUUAUUUCAGUCUCAUAGCCUCUAUCACGAGUAUAACGUGCUAACCUAGUUUACUUGAAUUUUUUUUUUUUAAUUAGUAUUUUUUUUUUAAUUUUAUCCUUUAACUUUGGUUCUAUUAGAAAUUAGGUUACAUGAUUAAUCUCAAUUUACUUUAUACGAGAUUAUCUUGAUUUUAUGAUUCAGAUCAUGAGUUUUGCGUUGUAACAUGGGUAGACUAAAUUCAUUUUAUUGUAUCAUUUUUUAGAUUGAAUUUCUUUUAUAAUUUCAUACUUUAACAAUAGGAUGAUUGAGAAUUGAGUUUCAUAAUUUAUUUUAAUUUACUUUUAAUGAGGUUAUCUUAGCCUCAUGAAUCGGGUUAUGAAUUUGACGGGUUAAUCUGAGUUGACUUGGGUUAUUUUUGUAUUUUUUAAUUUAAUUUUAUUCCCUUUGAACAUUAAGUUGGUUGGAAAUUAGGCUUCAUAAUUUUUUCAAUUUACUUUUUAUGAGGUUAUCCUAGUUUUAUGAUCUAUGUUGUGAGUUUGACAGGUUAACUCUAGUUAUUUUUUAUUAUCUUCUUUUAAAUUAUUAUUUUUUACUUUAAUCCUUUACCACUAAGUUGAUUGAGAAUUGAACUUCAUAAAUUUUUUUCACGGUCUCAUGACAUAAGUUGUAGAUUUGGCAAAUUAACUUCGGUUGAUCAAAUAUAUUGUUGUCUUAAUAUUUUUUUCAAAAAUAUAUUUUUUUAAUUUUUUUUUAAGUCAAACGACAAUUUUAAUGGUAGUCUGAGUUUUUUUUGGACCUAUCAAAUUGAUUGGAUCACAUUGGCUCAACUCUCACACAAUUUUGUUUUUACUAGAAAAACAUUAGCAACACUUAAAUUCUUUUUUGCAUUGAAAAAGAAAUUUAAUCCAAUCCUUAGCAUAACAUGGGACAACAAUCUAGUAGAUUAUUAAAUAUUGGUUUGGGUAAUGGUGUUUUUAAGAGUCAUUUUUUUUUCUACAAAUGAAAGGAACAAACCAAACAAUUAUGACCUAAUGAACAAGAUUCUCAAAGAGUAUGCUAGGAGCAAAUGAUUCAAUUCUAAAGGUGAAUGAUCCAAAAUCUAAAACCUUUCCAUCCUUCUGGUAGCAUUAUUGGCUAGAAAAUUUGCACAAGAGUUAGCUUCCUAAGAGUCAUUUAAUGAACUCUAUUUUCUUUUUUUGUAUUAAAAUUUACUAAAAAGAAUAAAACAAAGGAAAUAAUCAUGAAAUCUAAAACAAUGCAUAAAACAAGGAAAAAAACAGAAUUGGCCCAAACCAUGAUCCUGUGAUGAGAUUUUUGAUAUCUCAAGAUCCGAUAGUCUGUGCAGUGCCUAAUAGAGUCAAUAUAAAGAAAAUAUUCUCUAAAAACUCUUGUAAAAAUUUGACCCUAAUCUAACAAUCAAAUCAAAUUUUGUGCUUUUUAGGCCAUCAUUUAGAUUUAGAGCGACAAGAUCUUCUUUUGAAUCUAAUUUUGUUACACUAAUCUAUAAAUGCAUUUGCUAGGCCAUCCACAUAAUUUAUAUAUGACAAAUCCUCACAUGACUGCAUAGAAUCACUUGUUAUCUCAAGGCCGACUGCAUUAAAAUUAUUGUUGAAGUUAUCUUCAAUAAACCACAUCUUUCUAUACAUGGAACAAGUCAAGUCAACCAUCAUAAAUAGAGACAUUAAAAACAAGAAUAUAAUGGACUUCAUUGUGUUUGGAGUAUCUUUAUUACUCCAAUUUUUAGCUUUUGCAAGUGGUUAAUUUUAUACUUAGAAAAAAGAUACAUAACGUGCAUUGUUACUUGUAUAAGAGGAGAAGAGAGAGGAAAUAGGGUGUAAAGCUUAGAGAUAUCUGAUUAUGGACUUUCUAUUAAGCUCAUAUUAGAAGUUAGUUAAUCAAAACCAUGGAGAUAGUGUUGGAGAUUUGUUUGAAAUAAACAAAUUAUAUGGACGAAUGAAAAAUUAAUCGGAAAACCCCUUAAUUUUCCAACUUAAAAAACUCUUGGUUUUUAUAUAUUUAAUUUUUAAUUUAUGAUGGCUAAUCAAUGGUUGAUAAUUGUGAGAAUUAAUUCUUAUUAAUUCUUCAACCUUUUAGCUUCCAAAAUUCUCUAUAAAAGAAGUGAAUGAAGAGUUUCUAACUUGAAUAUUUUAGUUUUUUUUUACUAUCUUUCUCAUCAUUGUUAGUGUUUCAUUCUCUUUCAUGCUUUUAUUUUCCUCUCAAUCUAGAGCUUAUGUUCAUCUUGUGAGAUAUUUGAGUUUUAUAUUAUUUGAUUUAAAUACCUUGUUUAGAACAUCUAAACUAAGGUGGUGGUGUUGGAAUCUUAUGAGGCAUAUUGCAAACAUUAUAGUUGUACAAGUGAGGAAAAAUAGAGCUUGGACAAAUGAUUCAUCAUCGACAAUGACAAAAGUCUCAUUACUUUAAAGUGAUUCAACAAAUAAGUAUUCUCAUUUGUUUUAGUUUAUGUAUAUACAUUUUUAUUAUUAGCAUGUAUACUAGGACUUUGAAUCAAUAUCAAUUGUAAUUUUGGAUACAUGCUUAAUAUGCAUGCUAGUAUUAUAUUUGUUUUUAAAACAUGUUUGCCAUGAAUUAUUGUUUUGCAUGCUUAUAGAUUUAAACUUGUAUGAACUCUAGGCUUUUUUAAAAAAACUUUUUGUAUAUUUAGCAUGCCUUGUUAGGAUAAACUAUAUAUCAUUUCUCACUAGUCUAAUAUAUACAUUUUACAAACUUUAGGUAUACAAUUUAACAACUUUUAUCUUGAUUUUUAUAUUAGAUUUGGUUUAAUUUAUCUUGUGGGGAAAAAAAAUUAUAGAUUAAUUUUGAAAUAGAUUUUUAACAUUUUAAAAUUUAAGUUAUUAUUUAACUUCAUUUUAAGUUGUUAUAGAUUUAAUUCUAACUCUAUAUGCUUUAAUCUAUAAUCUUUUGAUAUAUCAUGAUUUCUUUUUGUUUAAUUUUUAAAAGAUUGCUAUAUAUCUUUGUUUUUGAAUUAUAGUUUAUCUUUUAAAAUUAUGUUGCAAGCUAUUUGAAUGGUUUAAUGUAAGUCACAUAUCUUAUUAAUUUAUAUUUUACAAUAACUGAAUAAGUGAAUCAUUGAACUACGUGGCUGGAUAUUUUUAGUAAUGUUUCUUAGAAAACGUGUUUGGUGAAUUCCUUACUGUAUUUUGAUUCUAGCUAAGCUACAGGAUUGGUUUUCUACGCCUACAAAGAAAAAUGAAAAGGCCUUACAAAUUAUUGUGGUGAACAAUGUCUCUGCGGGAAAAACUCGGAGAUUCUGAUGAAAUUCUCAUGAGCUCAGGAAAGUAGAUGCAUGAUAUAUAUAUAUAUAUAUAUAGAAUGAAAGUUAAGUUUGUUUGGGAACAGGAAUAGUGAUAUCAGUUAACCUCAUAAAUAUUUUCGAGUGGUUGUGCUCGUGUCUGUUUUCUUAAGAGUUCCUUGUAAAUAGAAGGAGGAGUGGAGUGCCUUGAAAUAUUAAUUCCCCUUCCUAUAGAAUUGCAUAACGAAUCUUAAGAGGAUCAGACGGGAGAAAAUGAAAGAAAAAGAAAUAAGCAAAUCAAAUCAAAUCAAAUCUUCCCACAAAUUCAUAAAUAUCAAAGGUCAGAUCUUGUUGUAAUGGCUCCUUUCAUGGACAAAGAGACCAAAGAGAGUUGACACGAUAUAGCUGAAGGAUUCUUUCAGGUGAUCACGUUUUUUAAAUUAUUAUUUAAUAAUAAUGUCUACUUUAAUUUCCAGAGUAUUCACACCAAGAUAUCGAUAUAUAUAUAUAUAUAAAACGUGGGGAACAGUCUGAUCGGCCGGGUUAAAUAACGAAAAGAAGCUUUCAAGCAGGUCGUUGUUUUGUUUUCUUCUUCGAGAGACCCUCUUUAUAUAUUAAACCUCACACGAACACCCUCGUCUGGAAUAACAAAGAAGCUUUAGGUGUCCAGUCCUCGAAGCAUGAAGCAACAAAGGACACUCGUACUCUGUUCUUGUGCUCUAAUUUUUCUGCUUCUAUUCUCACAUCCAUUAUCAGUCACAGCUCAAGAAGUUGGUAAUACAUGCAUUUACUUGAUUUUUAUUUUAUUUUCCCAGUUAUGAUAAUUUAUAUUCCAUUAUAUUUUGGUAUUUUCAGUGGCGAGAUUUGAGUAGUGGGUUAUAGCUUAGAUAUACAAUAUUUGAUGCAUGUAUAGAUAUAUAAUUAUGUGGUGCAGAGGAUGAGAGGGAGUUUGAUUACAUUGAAGGGAGCGAGAAGGGGCCAGCAUAAUGGGGAGACAUUAAGAGAGAAUGGGCAGAUUGCAGAACCGGACGUUUGCAAUCUCCGAUUGACAUGUCAGAUCGUCGAGUGAAAAUGGUCCAAAAGACAGAAAACAUAAAGAGGAAUUACAGACCUUUUAAUGCAACCCUGAAGAAUCGAGGCCAUGAUAUUAUGGUAAUUAAGGAUAUUAUUAUGCUCUUUUCGUCCUUCCAAGGUGAUAAAAUCAAGCUUUUCAGUGCAACUCAUGUCAAUCAACGACUAGUCUUAGCCAAAUUCCUCGACGACUGAAAUGCCCUGGCUUUGACUGAUCUCUGAUGAAAAAAAUUUAUACUUAUCUUGUAGAGAUUAGCCUCCUAAACAGAUUUCAAUAUGGAAACAGGUUCAAUGGGAAGGACGUGAUAAAGCGGGAUCAAUACAGAUCAAUGGCACCAGAUACUUUCUCCAACAAUGCCACUGGCACUCACCUUCCGAGCAUACCAUCAAUGGAAGAAGGUCAAUUAUAUCAAAGUCGAUAGUGAUACAAUUACAUAUAUUUUGAAAGAAAAUAUAAAAAAAUCCAAAUAAUAUUCGAAUUAUUUUCUUUACUAGGUAUGACAUGGAGCUACACAUGCUUCACACAACCCCAGAGCAGAAGAUCGCUGUUAUUGGAUAUCUUUACAAGAUUGGUAAACCUGAUGCUUUCCUCUCCAAGGUAACAGAAGGAAACACGUGAAAUAAUUUUAGCUUAUUAGAAGCUUGAAUUUCAAGUACUGCAUGAACUUGAAGAUUAUUUUUAUUACAUCAGUAAUAUUUCUCAGAUUCAAGUGCUAAGGUAUGGUUAAUCUAUUCUUGUUUUCUUCAUCAGUUGCUCAAUGAUAUAAUGUCUAUGACUGAUCAAAUAUUGAAAAGGAACAUUGGGAUAGUUGAUCCCAGGGAGAUCAAGUUCGGUGGCAAGAAAUAUUACAGAUACAUGGGCUCCCUCACCACCCCUCCUUGUAAGCAAGGUGUUAUCUGGACCAUAAACAAAAAGGUAACCCCUCCUCCCUCCCUCCCUCGCUGACUUCAAAAUCCUCGGACCAGCUUGUGUUUGUUUUUCUGGGCUCAAACGAGUUCUUAAAAGUGUUUGAACUGAACUCAGAUAAGGACAAUUUCAAAGGACCAAGUUAGAGCGCUUCGAGUGGCUGUCCAUGAUGUAAGCAGCCAGAAUUAGUAAAACUAAGUGAUGGAUCAUAAUUUGUGCUAUAUAAUUAUGAAUUUUGGUAGAAAUGCAUGCAGCUUCAAGGGUACCUAACCUUUGUUAUUGUCUUAAUUUGCAGCAUGCAGAGAAAAAUGCAAGACCAUUGCAGCCAUUGAAUCAAAGAGAGAUCCAUUUCCAUGGACACAGCCCAAAGGAUACAUACAACUAAUUAACAACAUCCCAAGAGUUUAUGAUUUUGCCCCCAUUUUUUGAAAUGGAAUGUACUUAUGAGAAGUAGGGUUAGGCCAUUGUUUUGCAUUUAUGUAUUCAAUUAAAUUUUUAGUAUUUGGUAAUUUGUCGAUUGCUGCAGAACUCGAUGAUGCAAAAUUAGACAUUCUGUAAUGUUAAUUCGUCAUUAUGUACUCUCUCUCUCUUCUCUCUCUAAAUGAACUUUUUACCAUAAAAUGAAAUCUCCCUCCGCCCUUUUUUUUUUAAGUUCAAAAUUCGUCAUGAUGUAAUGAUUAAUUGAGACAUUUAAAAAAGAAGAAAAAAAUCAUUCUACCAUUAGAAAAAACCAUGUAUAUGAAAUAUAAUAGCUCCCUCACAUAGACACAACCAACAGCGACUGUCAUUGCACUACAAUUUUAUGAAUGGUAAACAUGCGAGGUAGUUCAACAAAAUGCAAUAGAAAACCAGCCACAGCCAAAAGGAUCCUUCUAGGGGAAAUAAGAGAAUUCGAUUAGUGAGGGUUACUGCAAUGCAUUAAUAAUCAUUCUAAUAUUAAGUUUAAUUGAACCAUCAUUUGGAAGUGAACAUUUUGCACGCUGAAAGGCAGCCUAAUUUUCAAGUUAACAAUGAAUAUACACCUAUGGAUCUCAACUGGUUAAUUAUCUAAGGAUCUCAACUGGUUAAAGUACAGACAUUUUAGUGAAUAAGAGAAUAAUACCCCUUCCUGCAUGGCCUCAUGCAAAACAUCCCCGCUCCAUUUACCAUUUUAAUUGCUCUCUUGAAUUAGAGACAUUAAUGAGAAGCUGGUCAUCUAUUCAUCUCUUCAAUACUUGAAGAGCAUGGGGGAGGUCCUCCACGUGUCUGCUUCUGCUUCGUAUUGUAUGAAUUGCAUUUUAGGCACUUGUGUGCUACAAUAUGGAAGUUUACUUCAGAUGUUUCCCCACAGUCAUUACAAAGAAUCCAAACCUAAACCAGAAUAUUCAAAUAAUUAUACACCGACAAUUGUCAAUUAGUACAAACACAUAUCAUUUUCUCAUACAUACCAUCUUAUUCAGAUACAUUUGAGGCAUGGGAGUCAACGCUACCUGAACGCGAUUUAGAAAACAAAUUGGGAAGUUAAUAAACCACUACUUCAUUAGGUAAAAUCAUAUCAUAAUAUAGUAGGUAUACCUGUUGAUCAAGUUUUUCCCACACACGAGACAUGUCACGAUAUGAUUUUGAGCAAACAGGGCAGGCAUACCUGACACACCAUCCCAAAUAUAAAGACUGCAGUCCUACAGUUGGCAAGAACUAGCACAAAAAAGAACACCCUAUAAUUACCAAAAACUUACUGAAAAUGCUGCUGCAUCUCUUUAACACAUUCCAAAUGAAUGGUGUGCCCACAAGGCAAGACAGUAAUGUCUUUUGUGGUCUCAAAGAGAAACUAUGCAAAGAAAAUCAAAUAAGUUAGAAAAUCAGAUGUAGAUAAAUCAGGGUUAGCAUCAUGAUAAUUUUUAGCAUCUCUCUUUCAGUAUGCACGUUUACCUCAAGGCAAACAGGGCAAUUAUGGUGCAUUGCUCUUUCCACGCAAUUGUGUGAAUCCUUCAAUAAUGUUGAAUAGCAGCAUCCUAAAAUAGAAACAAUGCCACUCAACAGGCAAGUAAAUGAAGAAGAGCCGACAGAGGAAUUUCUCAAGUACAUAGAGUUUCUUUGAAAUUUCAGCAUGAUUUAGAGUAAUAGUCAAAAUGAAUAAGAUUUUAUUGGCAAAACGCUUUCAAUUAUAUAGAUAUUUUCAUCAACCAUGCAACUUUUUUUUUUUUUGAUGAAUAUCAACCAUGUUACUUUAAAUUCCUCUCUUUAGAUAUCCCCUUCAUUUCUUGAACUUAAGUUAAUAAAUAAUCAAAGCUAAAGUUUUUCCAUUUUGGAUCAAGGAAAAAAUUCAACUGACAUUUGAAUAACUUAUGGAUUACAGAUACAAAAGCAAUUCAAGAAAACAAUUUUAAAUAAAAGAGAUAAUUUUAAAAACAAAUUGAUGGAAAGCAUUCCUGACACAUUGAUAUCUUACUGCAUCUAUUACAGUGAAAGAAAUUCUCCUUUCCUCCAGUUCUGCAAUACCAAAACAACAAUUAAUCACACUACAAGUCGAAAAAACAGAAAUGUCCAGGUAAUGAGAUAGUGCAUGGUAAAGGACAAACCUGCAGAUGCCACAUUCAUUGCAAUGGUACUGCUGCUUUGAAAUCUAGCAAAACAAACAGUUCGUUUGUUAAGCAGGAUUACAGCUAAAAUAUUUACUUAAGAGUUUGAAGUAAGAGGCAUACAUCGUCAUCGAAGAACUUGCAUUUGGAGCAAAAUUACUUCCCCAUGCACACCCCACAAUGAAAGCAUUGUUGUUGAACCUGGCAAGAUAUUCAAGAAAAAUCAAAACCCAUUGAUAAAUCUUCAUAUUAUUGUCACUCCCAUCAGUUUGUCAGUCAGAGACUCACUUCUUGUUCUGUGUCACACAAAGAACAUAUGACCUGCAACACAAUAAUCAUAUAGCAAAAACUAAAUCAGAACUUCUUUUUCCUUUUAGCAAAUUGAAAAAAAAAAUCAACAAAUAGGAACUGAAGCAUCAUAUAAUAUGCAUAUGAGCAGAUAGAGAAAUAAAAGAUAAGAUGUUGAACCUUAUCCAAAAAAACACGUGUUUGGAUCUUUUAAUGGUACCCACAAUUCCAUGAUUUUUUAUUUUUUUUUUGUGUGUGAAAUGAAACAUUAAAACAUCAUUUUAAAAGGAGAAAAGAAAGCAAUUGUAUGAGAUGAUAUCAAUGUCGACCUUGGCCCCAGAAAAGUAUACUUACGAAACAAUGAUCAUAAAAAAGCACCUGCAUUUUAUUUCCUAAUUACGUUAAAACUUAUUUUCAUUUUAAAAAUAUUGAACAGAUAAUUCACCAGCAAACGUUCUACCUUUAUGCCUUAUUUGAUUGCAGAAAACAAAAAAGUUAAACAGAAGUGAGAGAUACAGAACUGACCCUUUUUAAUUCGUGACGAGGAAUGUCAUGACGAUCAAUGGGAUUAACUUCCAUAGAAUUCUAUUCAUAAAAAACAUUAUAUUGAUUGGAGCUUUAUAAAGCAUUUCUUUUUACAAAAAAAAAAAGAAAAAGGAUAGAACCUUUGAUUCAUUAUGACAAUGCCUGCAAUCGAAUAUCUCGUCGCAACAGGGUGCUCUUAUCUUACAUCUUCUUCUAUAGUGGGUGCACCUUUGUUUUAUUUUUAUUUAUCAAACAAAAAGAAGAAAAUUUUCAAUUCAAAAACAAAACCAGAACCAAGAGAAAGGGUGGGGGGGUCAAUAAACAAGUGUAAAAAGCUUUCUUUAUAUAUAAAAUGGAAGCAUACCCGAAAUUCCCAUAUCCCAGAUCCACUGGAGACUUGUGUUCACAAGGAAAACUUGACAUCCUGAGCUCCAGUUUAAUUACCUGAAAUUUUUAUUUUAAAAAAACCCUCAACUUCCCUCACAAGUCAAUAAACAAGUGUAAAAAGCUUUCUUUAUAUAUAAAAUGGAAGCAUACCCGAAAUUCCCAUAUCCCAGAUCCACUGGAGACUUGUGUUCACAAGGAAAACUUGACAUCCUGAGCUCCAGUUUAAUUACCUGAAAUUUUUAUUUUAAAAAAACCCUCAACUUCCCUCACAAGUCAAUAAACAAGUGUAAAAAGCUUUCUUUAUAUAUAAAAUGGAAGCAUACCCGAAAUUCCCAUAUCCCAGAUCCACUGGAGACUUGUGUUCACAAGGAAAACUUGACAUCCUGAGCUCCAGUUUAAUUACCUGAAAUUUUUAUUUUAAAAAAACCCUCAACUUCCCUCUAAGAACUGACUUUAAUUCAUCAUAGUAACAGUUACAUUAAUAUAAUUAUAAAAGCAACAAUCCUGAACCAGCUGACAGAAUAGACAGACCAAGAAAAGAAUCAGCUUUUCUUCCAAUGGGGGUGGAGUGGUGACCUAGCCCAAAAGGGAAGGCAACGCACAACUCAAAGGAACACCACCACCCUUGCCCCUCCCCUGCACACGAGGAAUGAAGAAGGGAAACCUACAGGUAAAAGGCAUUUACCAAAGAAAAAAUAUCAGGCCAACGUUUCCAAGAGAAAAUUAUACAUUACUCAAUAGACUAACCAUUUCGGAUUAUGAUCAAGCGACACGACACGACAGCGUCUGUCGGCCACCCCGAAAUCUAAUUAAACUGCACAAUUAUUACUUAAGAGCGAGAUCACUUUUUUACUUUCAUGACGCCAUGCCAAUAAACGGCAUCGUAUUAUUGUGGACUGGAAUUAUUUUAGAUGUUUUUUCCUGUUAUAACAAGCUUUUCAAAUUAACAUUUCUUAUAUAUUUUCUUUAUCUUUUUUAUUUAUUUAUAUCAAAAUUAAAAUAUUAUUUUAAUUAAAAAAAUAUUCUUAGAUAUUUUUAAAUGUUUUUAUAUUAACAACUAAAAUAAUUAUUUUAAUAUAACUUUAAUUAAAAAAUACAGGGCACCAAAGGGUUGGUAAAAAGCUGAGGUUGGAGCCCAAGUUCAACAACAACAACGGGCUUGUCAUCAGGACAUAGGACUUGAGCGUUAAUUAUAAUGACAUGAAAAAUAUUUUUUUAAUAUUUUUAUGUUUAUUUACUAUUAAAUUCUUCAAUAAAAACAUAUUUUUCAUCCCUUAUCUUAAAAAUAUUUAAGAUUAUUUUAUUAUUAUUUAUUUUAUUUAAAAUAAUUUAUAAAAUUUAAUAUUUAUUUUCAAUUUAAUACCGUGACUUCGUUCUCAUAAAUAAUAGAUAUUGUAUAGUUAAUUAAACCUAGAUAGAAUUAAAUGGUACAAGUAUAAAUCAUUAUCCUUGUACAAUCUACUAGAAAUACUGUAUAAGAAUUAAAUACAAGGUAUAGUAAGUUUGCAUAAAAAGAAUAAGAGCGGAUGUUAGAAAUCUAUAGAUUUCUUGAUGUUGAUCAUGCAAAAUCUUGAAUGCUUCAAUGGCCUACAUAACUUGAGAUAUUUUUUUUGGAUAAAUUUUGUUAUCUUCUUCUAUAUCGUACAAGUUUUAUAAUAGAAGUUGAUAAAAUAUACUAAAAACAAAUGAAAAAAAAAACAAUUAAGAAAGAUGUCCAAAAUAAGAGAUGCCCGUAGUGGAUGGAUAAUGCUAAAUGAUGCUCAGAGCCAAAGUUGAUAGGCAUUCUUUGUUUGGUCAUUAAUGCCACAUGCCUGAAUCAGGAAAAAAAAAAAAAGAGAGAGAGACUAUUAAGCCAGGUGGAGGAUUGUGGGCUAACCACGUAGGAACAAUGUUCAUUCAAAGAGGUGUAGUUAAAUUGGAUGGUGGUUAAAUUAAAUGAAAACAAACGAGCAUUUUUUUAAAUAAAAGAAAUGCCUUGUUUUAAAUUCUGAUGGGAAGGUGAUGAGUUAAUUUUAUUUAUUUAUUUUUAUAAAUAAAUGAGUUUGACACAAAUACCAGACACAAUACAUCAAGUCUAAGGUGACAUGGGUCUAGUACGUCUGUCAGACACAAUGCAUUUGGACUUGGCAAUGCGUCAAGUAAGGUGGUGUAGGUUUGACACGCAUGCCAUACCUAAUAUGUUUGGACUUGAUAGUUCGUCAAGUCAAAGUGGUGUGAGUAUGACACGCAUGCUAGACCCGAUACACUUGUACUUGAUUGUCAACCAAGUCCAAAGCGCUUGGGCAUGGUAGUGUGCCACGCCCAAGAUAGCGUGGGUCUGGCACGUCUGUCAAACUCAAAACAUAUGGACUUGAUUGUCAACCAAGAUACAGACUUGAUAGUAAGCCAAGUCCAAGAUAAUUACCAUCCUCUCAUUGCAUGUCUAGGAAAUUGAACAAACUCUCAUAAGUCUAAACAUCAAGGAAGAACUAAGUUUUAAUAGACUUAGUUAUAUCUGACGUUUUAAACUCUAAAUCUCCCAAUACUUUUUUAGGUGUUUAAAAUCCUUUAUGGACCUACCAUAUUCUUAUCAGGUAAGAGAUGUUUAUCUCUCAUUCAAUGUUGACAGGGUAAUUACUUUGCAAGCUCUCUUUUUAUGGGCUAUAAAUACACCAUGAGAGUUUCAUGAUAAAAGAUUCAGGUUUACGAUCUUAAACUCUCUGCGAGCUUAAUAUUUUAUAUGAUACUGACUUUAUUAUCAGAAGAUUUUUAAGUUCCUCCAAUUGAAAUUGUUUUUUUCUUUGUUAUUGAGACAAUUUUUCCUUUCCCUUUACGGUCCUGCCUAUGAGUGAUAUGACAGACAAGACAAUCUCAGGCUUUAGGUAUUCAAGAUCAUUUAGUAAAUUUGAAGUUUUUUAGAUUGGAACAAAAUUCAAAUAUUUAACGUAUAAAUAAGAUAUUAUCCCAAACACUAAAUAAUCUUUUAUUUUUAUGUUCCUGGAUUUUUUAACAUCACCACGAGGUUAAUUUUGUUUCGGGAUUUUGGCUAGGACAAUAUUGUUCAUGGCUCAAAGGUGGUGGUGUGAGGAGUAUAUGACUGGAGAGAGGCUUCCUGUGUUUCUUUAAUUAGAGUAGCCUGUCAUGUGUUAGGUAUAAUAUUUUUUUUUCUUUUUAAAAUUAGAAAGCAGUGUUUAUUAAUUACCAUGGGGUUGGAAAACUUGUAAGGUAGCCACGUGUACCACAAACAAACUGUUUGUCAACAUCUCUCUAACCUUUAUAUUGCAUUUUAUGCACUUAUUAUUCCACCAUCCUGAUUCCAAUUCGAAAUCUGUUAUUAAAGUGUUAAUGAGUAAAUAUAAGAUUAUAAAACGAGACUGAUAAAAAUUGAAAAUUAUUGUAAAAUUGAUAGUGAAAUAUUUUAUUAAUUUUACAUAAUUUUAAUUUGAUUUUAUUAAUUUUGCACAACAAAUAUAUAUUAACUCAUAAUUUUAACAAUUUUAUUUGUUACUCACUUCACAAUUUAUCAACAUUGUAAGCAGUGGCGAAGCUAUGUUUUUUAAAAUGAGAGGGCAAAUUAUUAACAAAUACUUGAUAUUAUGUAUUAUAUAGACAUGUAUUAUAUAAAGAAUUAAUUUAAAAUAUAUAUACUAACUUAUUGCAAACAAAAUUAAAUUAAGAAUACUUUUAAAAUGAAAAAACUUAUGUUAUAAUUGUUCUUUUCGAGUUUUUAUAUUUUAAAACCGCUUCAUAAUAACUUUAUUAUCAAUCUCAUUGAAGAUAUUUUUCUCAAUAUAUACAAUCAUAUUGUCAUUCAUCUAUUUUUAGUUUAAGAUGGGUUCAAUACUUGUGUUUUCUAAAUCUUUCAAGGACUAAUGAAGUUCUUGACAACAAUUUUAUGCUGACAUAUGAUAGAGAAUAGCUAAAAUCAUAACUUAAAAGGAUUGUCAUGAAAAAUUGAUGUUGUUAUUAUUGACUUAUUGUUUUUUACAAGUGAGUUAAACAUGUAAAUGUUAAAUAUUUUAUUUAUUUAUCUAUUGUGUGUCUAAUUUUUUGAGUUGUCGUAUAAUUUAUUUUUAAUUACUACUAAAUUCAUUACCAUUGAUUUUCAAUAUGAAAUUCAUAGAAAAAUAUUUAUCAAUUCAUCAAAACCCAUUUCAAUUCAUAUCUAUAUGCAUAUAAUAUUACUCAUACACAUUAAUUUAACAAACCCUUAAAGUAUCAUAAAUCCUAAUAUUUUUAAUAACAAAUUGUAAAUGAAUAAAACUAAAAUUAAACAAUAAACAAAUAAAAAAACCGAAGGAAACUUGAAAAUAAAAAGGCUCUCGGUUAAUUACUAAAUUUUUUUUUAGUAAAAUAUGUAUUAUAUAUAUUAUAAGUUAACAAUAGCUAACUUGGAUUAAUUAGCUAAAAUCAUAUUCGGUUAAAAAAUAAUUUUUAAAAAAUAAAUAAAAAUAAUAUUUUAAUAUAUUUUUAAAUAAAAAAUAUUUUAAAAAGAAAACACAACCUCACUCCCAACUAAAUUAUCCAAUAUUUAUUUUAAAAUUUUUUUAUAUCAAAUAUAUUUUAAAAAGUAUUUUCAAACCGGUCCAAAAACGCUAACGAUGAACGUUUGAGUAAGCGUUCACCUUCAAAGCUUUUUGUCCUUAUUUCCAUAGAGAUCACCGCCCCAUGUGAAAGACAAUGAAAGUCACUGUCCGUCCGAUCCUUGGGGUGAAAUUCACUGAAUCAAGAAGAGUGUCAAGGAUUGUGGUUGGAUAAAGAUUUUGAAUUUUUUUUUUUUUUUUUUGUAUUUUUAUGUGUUUAUUAAAAAAAUAUAUUAUUUUAAUACAAAAAAAAUCACUUCACCGCUUUAAAAAGUAAACAUUUUAAAAAGUAAUUUCAACAGAACUGGGAAAAAAGUAUCUUCAUCUCUUUGUAAAUAAAAGAGCAUUCAUUCGGAACAGCCAUACAGUGUAUCAAUUGGUGGGUCCUAUGAAUCCACUUUGAUGAUCCGCUACAAGGACAGUGACAGUGACAAGGAACAUGCUGCCAAGCUUAUUUCCCCUCCCUUCCCUCCACAGCCUCCUUGGAUGCUCUCAUCCGGAAAUUCUGUAAUUAAUUCCGAGGACGAGAUUGCAAAUUUGAAAUAUCACUCAAGCACGAGCAUCAUCGCUGACGAGACCGUGCAAAGCUGUUUCUGACCAACCACCGGCACUGUUGCCGUUCAAGAAAAGAGGGUAAAACCGGCACAUGCUGCUCCUGUAGUGUAGCUGUGGACAACGGACUCGAGCCACAUUAAUUGCUUCCCUCUUACGAGUAGCGUGCAGCGGUGCUAAAAGAAGAAAUAAUCACGACGGUAGGUAGGAAAGGAUUCGGAGAACAUGACCAGAAAUCAUCAAGUGAUGGGAUGAUUUGUGAGAAAGCAGUGCGGUUGGCUGCCCUCUGAUCAGCCUCUCACCGGAUAAUGAACCCCAACAAAUAGCAAAAAAGAGUGGAAACGACAGAACAGAGUGUUGGGUCCGGAGUAAAAAGUAAUCGAGGCGUGGUCUGAAAACGGUCCCAAAGCUUCACGUGUUCUGCUGCUUCCGUCUAUAUCAAGAGCAAAAGGAAUCAUUAGGCGAGCCGGGACGGGGUUCCAGCACUGCUUGUUCCGAUGAGUCUUCUAAAAUAUUGCAAUGGUCUUCUAAAAUAUUAUAAUCUCUUCUUUUUAAAAAAUAUAAAAUAGAGUUAAUAUUAAAAAGGAAUGAUCCGAAAAUAUUGAAGACUCUUUUGGAUGAAAAAUUACAAUAUUCACUUAAAUUUGAAGAAAUUCCUCCAAUGUUUUCGAAUUUUUAAAAGAUCACUCAAAUUUCACGAUACUUUUAAGAGAAAAGUUCAAAAUAUUAUUGUUCUAGCUUUUUUAUUGUAGAAGUUAUCCUUGUUUUAACAUCUUCUGAUUGUAGAAGUUGGAAACAGCUGUUAGAUCAAGUUUGCACUUUUGCAAUGCACAUGGAAUUGGCGACUUUAGGAAUUUUAUAGUGUCCGUUCUGGAAAGCGAUUCUACAGGGUUCUUAAGAUUUUUAAAUAUAUAUUAAAAGUAAUUUUUUUUAAUAAAUAUCAUUUUAAUUUAUUUACAAACUAAAAUUACUUUUAAAAUCAAAAUAAACAUAAUCAAACACCCUCUAAGCAAAAAUUAGCAUGUGUGCAUGUUAGAAAGAAAAAAGGAAAUGAUACGAAGACUUAAUCAUUGUUUGUUUGCUAUUUAAGGUAAGCUGCCUUUAUAAUAAAUAAAUAAAAAAAAAAUCAUGGAUUUAACUACUUUCUUAUCCAUAUUAACAAAAACAACGCAUUCCAAGUCACAAAAAGAUUAAUUAAUAACCCCUCCUUUAUAAAAAAGCAGAUGCCCUUUUCCAUUUUAUUUAAUUUUGUACACGGAAGAUACAAAACGCCGCGUGUUAUUUAUAUUAGAAACCUUUUACGCCACGUGAAUCCUUUUUUCUUACAGGCUUCAUGACCGGUCACCGAAAGUUUUCUUUUUCUAAAAAAAGGAAGGCCGAGAAAAUUGAAGAGGGAAGAAAGAAAGAUGACUGGAAAUAAAAUCUUACAACUGGAGAAGAUCGAAUACACAAAUCACACCGUGGUCUGAUGAUGGGAAAGAUGAAACGAUCACAGAUGAAAGACAGGAAAAUUAAAUACCCUCGUAAUUAAGAAAUAAAUACAAAGGAAAGAAAAAGCCGCGGCACUGAAAUUAAAACCAUCCCAUGCACAUAUUGCCAUCCACUUGUUUAGUAGUCAGCGGUCGGCAACUGCUCGUGGUUGCCGAAGCCGAUGAAGAAGAACUCGUAAAUGAGACCGGCAAGUCCACCACCAAUCAAAGGUCCUGCCCAGUAGACCCAGUGGUUGGUCCAGGUCCAGCUCACCAAAGCAGGGCCGAAUGACACAGCCGGGUUCAUUGAGGCUCCAUCGAAUGCACCUCCAGCUAAAAUGUUAGCACCAACAAUGAAACCAAUUGCAAUCGGAGCUAUGAUCCCCAAGUUACCCUUCUUUGGAUCAACAGCUGUGGCAUACACAGUGUAUACAAGUCCGAAGGUCAUCACGAUCUCGAGAACGAAAGCGUUCCAGACACCAACCCCGGAGGACAGAGCGAAAGCAGAGGUUUCCUGCGUGGUGCCAUGUCAAAACCCAGAAUUUAGUUACACCUUCAUCUUAACUGUAACAACGAGCUUGAAAACUGAUUCACCAAAUAAAAAAAGGGUAAGGACAGAGAGUUGUCUAGACUUACCAGGCCACCAGUGGUGAACUUGAGAAGCAAGCAAGCGACAGUGGAGCCCAGGAGCUGAGCGAUCCAGUAAAGGAUGCCACGCAAGAGGGUGAUGUUGCCACCAAUAAAAGCACCGAAAGUAACAGCGGGGUUGACAUGGCCACCGGAGAUGUUGGCACCGACGGACACAGCAACAAAAAGAGCGAAAGCAUGGGCGAUAGCUGCAGCGAUAAGUCCGGCGGGUGUGUUGGCAGCACCGUCCGUAAGUUUGGCGAAGGCCAUGCCGGACCCUUCACCGGCAAAGACAAAAAUAAGAGUGGAGAUGAACUCAGCCAAGGCUGCCCUCAAGGCAUCGGGCUGAGUUGCCUCAUGGUAGUGGCCUACGGCGAUGUUUCUGAUCGGCAUAUUUUGUUGUCUGAACAAAGAUCAAACGGUGGAAAUUGCUCUGUUUUUUUUUCACACUGCGUGUGGUAGCUAGCUAGAGAGUGCUCUGUGCAAGUACUGAUCUCCACUUCCCAGCUUUGUGGCCAUACUUAUACUGAGAGACUGGUCUUGGUUAACCUGUUUUAUCCGGUUUCCGGUUGAAAUUAAGGGUGUGAAAUGUUUUUUUUUCUUCGUUCUUUUCUAAAAUUGAAUAUAUAUAUAUAUAUAAAACAAGGAGCAUAUGUUAUUGUUUAUUUAUUUUAAAAUCAAUGAUGUGUCUAAAAAGAAGGAUAUAUCAUCUUAUAAAUUAUAACUCAACGAGUAUUCACAUUACUAUUUCAAAUUCGAGUCUAUCUUUUGAAAUAAAAAAUAAAAGAGAGUCAACUUAAUAUUCGUGCUGAGUUACAACUAAGAACAUUUCUAUAAAUAGAUAAAUCGUACCCCAAAUAUUACCAAGAAAGAAUUGGAACUCAAAUAUGAGAUCUCUUGGUGAAUCUUCUUUUAAAGAUUUUGUUUUUAUUUUUUAAAAUUUAAUCUUAUAUCAAAGCUUAUAUAUCGGUCACCACUGUAGGUGACCAAAUAACUAAUAGAAUUUAAUGUAACUUUCGUUUUUUCCCGUCCUUUUGCUUCAUCAUUAUAAUUUUUUAACCAAGUUUUGUGGAUAUUAAGAAUUUAUUUAUUUUUAUGUUUUAUAAAAUAUUUUUUAAAAUAAUUAAUUUUUUAUUAUUUUAUUUUAAAUUAAUAUUUUUAUAUAUAUUUUUAGAUUGUUUUAAAAUAUUAAUAUAAAAAAUAAUUCUUAAAAAAUUAAAAAAAUAUUAAUUUAAUAUAUUUUCAAGCUAAAAACAUUUUGAAAAGCAAUAGCUAUUAAACUCCUAAAAAUUCCUAAAUAUUCAAUGAUUGUAAUGAAAUUAUCAUCUUUAAUUUGUAUAAUUGAAUAAAGAUAGAUAGAGUUAUCAUUCUUACUUGAAAAGUGUAGCCAUUCUUUUUUAAAUCCUAGAAAAUUUUCCCUCAAGCAAGUAUAUUAGUACGUGUUUAGAUGAAAGGUAACUUACGUUUUUUUUAAGUAAAAAGCAUUUACUUUUUGGCUUUUAAAUAUAUGGUUUGUAUUUAAAGAAUAUUAUACUUUUAAAAUAAAACCACCACACCUUCAAAUAAAACAAACUCUUAGCGUAGCCUUAUUGCAACAAUGAAACAUCUCCCACUUGUCGAUAAAUGUGUGGUUGGAUCAAGGAGAAACCACAGAUAUGUUGAAAAAACAUAUAUAUAGUGGUCUCUAUGUAACCUCCUUUUCUUAUUUAUUUAUUUAUGUACGUCUCAAUAUUUAUUAUUUCUUAAUGUAUGCUCUUGAAAUUCAUUGUGACGCCUGACAACUAAAUAGUUAGAAUCUAAUGACAUUCCUAUUUUCUUAUUAGAAACAAAAGUAUUAAUAAUUGAAAAUCCCGUUAUGUGAUAUCAACCUUAAUAUCAUGAAACACUCCCUUAGUCAUCUAUAACAUCAGAAUUCUUAAUUAGCUUAAAUUGUCAUCAAUAAAUUUAAUAACAAAUUUGAGAUUUUUCUACUGUUAUUUCCAAUCCGCCAUGUAUUAUCUCUACCCUACAAUAUGUAUAAUUAUAAUCACCCCUUUUAAUAUAUAUCCAGUCUUAUUAUUAAAUUUAUACAGCAUUAUUCAUGAAAAAUAUUCUUAAAUUGAAAAUAUUAACAAAUUAGAGUUCAGGAUUACAUGAAAAAAUUGGUGUGUGGAUGAUAUGUAUAAUAUAUUUAACAUAUCCUUUCGUGUUUUUAUUCAAUCCUAAUAGAUGUUUAAUGCAUAAAUCUCAAUCGAAACUAAAAAAGAUUCAAAUAUUUCAAUUCCAAAAUGUAACUAAUGAACCUUAACAAGUAAUUUGUGCACUUGUUAGAAAAAUCCAAAAACUCAUAAUCUAUUUAUGGGUUUAAAUUUGAAAUGUAGGGGUGAGCAAAAAAAUUAACAAACCAAUUAAAUCUAAAAAACUAAAAAAAACCUGAAAGAACUGAACUAUGAAAAAGAACUUAUUAGAAUAUUUAAAAAAACCGACUGGUUUGGUUUUGAUUUUAUAAGCCUGAAACUGAAAAACCAAACCAAAAUCAAUAACUAAGUCAAACCGAAAAAACCAAGUCAAACUAGAAAAAACCGAGCCAAUCGGCUGGGUUUUAAUUUUUGCUCUAAAAUAACCAAACCGACACCAAUUAGUUUAAACUGGUUUUGGUUCGGUUUCAAUUUUUUUUAAAAAAUAUUAAUUUAAUUAUUUUUUAAAUAAAUAUUAAAUCGAACAAAAAAAAUAAUCAUUUCUAUUGAAAUGUAUAGAUAUAGUUCAUCAAAAGUCACUUAUAUAUAUAUAUAUAUUAUUUUGGGAGGGUGGCCUUUAGCUAGGGUGGCUAAAGCGUAUAUGCAGACAAGUACCUCUCGAAUUAAAAAGAAAAAAGAAAAAAAUAAUCCGAUAGACGAUAUUGGAAGAACGUGAUGUAAUUUAUAGUUUAAGUGUCAGUUUGUCAUGACGUUGAUCACGUUUUUAACAUAAAAGGAAUCUCAAAUGAGAUAGGCACAAAAGAUCGAUUAGAUAUGAUCGAUCAUGGCCACCAGAGGGAGGAGGUGGUCUUGAUUUUUAUAUAUUUCUCAAUCUGUCUCUAUGGGUAGACUUACUCCUACUUUAAGAUUUGUUGUCUCAUUGCUUCGCUGGCCUAAUCCUCGAUUCGGAAUUGUUCUACUCCUUCAACUAAGCCUUCAAAACUCAGAAACCCUAAAACAAUGCAUCAACAGGGUUGGUGGCUGCAUCACCACCACAACUUUUGGAAUAUUUCAAUGUGUUCAAUUACGGGUAAUUUGGUAUUUUCAAUAUUAAACUAAGUACCCCCCUCCAAAACAAUAAAUUAUAAUAUCUUUAAGUGAUCCUGUCGAAUAACAUGCUAAUUUCAUAUCCAUAGUAUUUUUCUUUUCUUUUCUUUUUUCUAGUUUACAUAUAAUGGAUUCAAACAUAAUUUAUUGUGAAAGAGGUGAAGUGACAAGAGGAAAAGGAGACUUUCACGACUUCAUAUAUGGAUAUAUUCCUAACUGGAAGCAGAACAUCGAUCUAUACUGCAUUAGAUCUCUAGUUGAUAACUACAGAAAACCAACCACAGGCCCCAGAAAGCUUGGGAUAACAGAGGUACGAUUACAGAGAUUACGGGGAGACUUGUCCGAAACUGAUUAGAUCUCUAGUUAAUAAUUGAUGUCGUGUUUUGCUUAUUCUUAGACAAUUAUCUCAUAUUCUCGAGCUUUAUCGCUUUUUUUAAAAAAUAAAAUUAAAAUUAUAGCAUCCACGUACGAGAAUUAUUGCUGGUGUUGAUAUAAUUCAAACUGGGAUGGACUGUGCUGUUAAUACUUUCGUUCGCAUAUAGCACAGCAAAAGGAAGACACGGAACCGUACUGCUGUGUCUGCAAAUACACUAAUGGAAGCAGAGCUCUAUUUGAUCGAUCGUUUCAAACAGCAUGCGACCCUUCCUUGUUUUUAAUUCUUGUCCUUCUUCCCCUUCUUUUUUCUUUUAGCAAAACUAUUAAGGAUAACUCAGAGAGUGCUGUAGAUUUCCUAAUUUCCACACCAUUAGAGGAUACCUGCACUUCUUUUUGCGAGAUAAUGAGAAAGGGUCCCCGUAAAAUGCUUUCUUUGCUGUUUUUCAAACGAAAAAAAAAAAAAAAACCUAAUUCUCUUACCAUAACUAUCACGGGAUAUUCAAAGGGAAAAAAAAGAAAAAAAAACAAUUAGUCGAGCUGAUCAGCUCUCACUUUCUUUGAAUUUGUUUUGGUGGCUCUUCCAGCUGCUUGUCACGGGAUAUAUAACUCUUACUACUCUUCAUAUUGAUUCCUAAUUUCCUCCUUAAUCAACGUAUAAUUGGGACAUAAUUGUAGUACGUAUUUCUAUUUUAAUUUAUAUUACUUCGUGGGCCUUCUCGGGUGACAUCACUAAUCAUCCUUGCAAUAUUAUUUGAUUACUAUUUCAUUACCAAGAAAACUGAAAUAAUUAAAAUAUAAACGUGUUUGGUUUUGGAGAUUUGAUAAAAAUGAGUUUUUUUUUCCUAUUUCUUGGAUAGUUUUUAGAUAAUUUCUCAUUAAUCUAAAAAAGCAGGAGAGGAAGACAGAGACAGGGAUCAAGCUUUUGCAUUUGGUUACUGUUAAUUAAUUCACUUUUUUUUUUUGUCAAAUUCCAUGAACUUUUGUAGAGGAAGAAGAAGCGAAGAAACCCCGAACCCACCCAAUAUUAUUCAAUUAGCCUAGAAAAUCAGUUUCGAUUUGAGGAUUGAAUCGAAACUUACAAAUUAUUUACCCAAUUAGAUUUUCUAAUUUUUAACUCAAACCCACUGGAUUUUAGACUCCCUGUCGGGGGUAUAUAUUUCAGAGAUUUCAACAUUAAUUGAUUCCUCCAUUGAUAUCGGUCCAAAGCUUCGUUUUAUAACGUUUUAGUCUUUGAAUAUUAGAGUGUUUGGUUAGCCAUUAAAAAAAAUAAUUAAAUUUGGUGUUAAUAAAUUCAUUUUAAAAAGAAGAGUUCAAUGGUUUUAUUUUUUUUUAAAAAAAAUUGAUUUGAUAUUAAUUUUUUAAACUGAAUGAUGUUUUAGAAUUGAAAAUAUCUUUAUCAAGAUACUAGAAAGAUAUCAAAACGGUAACACUGCUUGCAAAACCUAACCUAGUUUCCUGGUGCUAACAAAAGCACAACCAUUAUUUUCCCCUUCUGCUGUUUUUUUUGACUUCUUCAGGAACACAAACUCCAAGAUGUCGAGCUGGAAUGGAAGGUGGGGGCACCAAAAUGCAUCAAGCACGUUACCUUACCAGGCUGGAGGGAGUGAUUGGUCACAGAUAAUUAUUAACAAACCAGUAAUUGACAGCUGUAGCCGAUCACUUUAGUAGUGGUGAGGUGACCAUCACAUGACCAGUAGGACCCUUCGCUCUAAAUAAUUUCAUCACCUUUCGGAUCAUGAGCCGACCAAACUAUACAGUACCUGUUCUUCUUUCCCGGUUUUUUUCUUCCUCUGAUAUUUUAUUUUACAGCAGGAAAACAAAAUGAUAGAAAAAUAGAGACAGAUUAUGUUAGAAAUAUUUAAUAUGUAAACAAAUAUAGAGUUGAUUUAAAGAUAUAAAAAUACCAUUUUUAAUAUAUAUUUUUGUCCUACAUAGAGAUAAUAUGUUCAGGAUACAAGAAAAGAAUAUAUAUUUGUUUUUUGUGUUUUUUUUUGUAAUAACAUGUUUUUAUAAAUUUGAGAUAUAACAAUAAUACACUAUGAUUGUUCAUCAAACAAUAUAAUUUUUGAUGAAAUACAAUGAUUGUUCAUAAAACAAUAUAACUGUUUAUAUUACAUUUCAAGUUAUAAGUGCUAUUUUUUAAUAUUAUAAAUAUUUAUAUAAUAGUAUUAAAAAGCCAAUUAAAAUAAUUCAUCUACCUUUGUUUAAUUUAUUAUACAAUAAAAAUCCAUACUUUAAGAAAUGAGAAGGGAGUGUUUCUUUUUAAUCUAAAAUAUAUUUUUAUUAUUAUUAUUUAUUUACAAAUUAACUACAUCAAUAGAUUACAAGCUACGAUAAUAGCACGACAAUGACGUGUCUUGGUGUUAUUUUCAUGAGCUAAAAUACAGUCAUGUAAUGUGUUUGUGAAUAAUGUAUUUUUGUGGUGCACCGACGAGCCUUAAUUAGCCAACAGGGAAUGAUCAGCGUAGGACAACACUGAUGCAAGAACAGGAGAUCACUUGGUCGCAUUUCAUAGGACUCCAGUCUUUCCUUUUUCCUUCUCUUCAUUUCACACAUAAGAAGAAGCAAACGACAAUUCCUGUGUUCAUCCGGACAAAAAAGGUAACAUCAACAGAGAUGACUGAGAAAGGCUUGUCUUUCACCAAAAGACAACGAACCUUAUGAAUGACACCAUGAUCGGAAAGAGUGCACCUCCAAAAUAUCAAGCUCAUGAUUUAUCAUGAGCCCUAAGUUAUCUUACACCUCAUUAAUAAUGUCUCACUCUGAUGAGAAAAUCAUGGCUAGUUUUUGGAGCACAUCUCCUUCAUGGACAUCAGUACAAGGUAAUAAAUUAAGGAGAUUAUAUAUAUAUAGUCAAUUUCAUGAAGUUAAAGUAUUCUGAAAGACUUCUUCUUCCUACAGCCACACAAGUUCCAUCCAUAUUCAAUACCUAGACUUCUUCUUCUUCUUCAAUUCCUACACUGCUAACCUGUUUGCACUAGAGACUGGUUCCUGUUGGGACCCCACAUGUUGAACUCGCAAGGUUUGCCUUAUAAACAUUAAACAGUAGUGCUUCAAAGGUUGGGUUUCGCCGGCAUUGAUGUAACGUCGACUGUCAAAUAACCAAUAGCUUAACUAGGAAAGAUACGACGAGUAGUUUUGUAUUGCUCUAAAAUAUUUUUUUUUUGUUCAGGUUAAUUAUAUUUUAUAUUUAAUUUUUAUUAAUUAGAAUAAAAAUGAUGAGAUUUGAAGUGAUGAUUAUUAGAUUAAUAAAGCUCCAAUAUAAUAUUAAAAAAAUAAUUUAGCCCAUUACUUAAAUUUUUAGAUAAGGUGUAAUUAAUACGUUACCUUUUCAUUAUUGGAGUAAUUAAUAAGCAGAAAAUAGCUGAAAAUUAAGCAAGUAUUCAAUAUUUAGAGCACGUAAAUCUUCAGUAUUCAACUAGUACUAAAUAAUCAUUUGUACCAAGCAUUCGUACUCCAUUUUUAAGUUGCCGCAAUGACGUAAAUUAAUAACAUAAAAUCAUGUACGAAUUUGCUUUUAGAGCUGACAAGCAAAGGCCGACAUAAAAAUCUAUUGCAAUAUUAAAUUGUGUUUUGCUAUUUUAAUUUUUUUUGUGUCGAUGUAAAUAUUGAUGUUGAUUUUUAAUUGAUAAUGCUAAUUAAUAAUAGUAAUAGGAUACUCUAAAUUGACAUCUGGAUAUAAUUUUCAAAGUGAUCAAAAUUGAUAAAGCUUUCCUAAUGAACGUGUCUUUGACUAGUGAGAAUUUUUUUUUUUUUUAUGACUCUGAGUGCCCGGGUCAGCUUGCGCGCACCACAACUAAUCCCAGGACCUACUGAAUAUCCUGCAAGCCUGAUAGACAGGUAAGGCACCGCGGGGGUGACAGGCUGGUACUCUUGAGGUUCGAACCCAGAACGUUCGCAAAAACAAGCCUUGCAAUUGACCAAUGGGCUAGACCUUCCAAGUGUGACUAAUGAGAUUUUCUUUGCAUCAUCUUCCGCAUUGUUUAUUUGAGAUAAUUAUAUAUAGAAAGUAAAUAAAAAUCAAUAAUAAAUUUUAUUUUUCAACCAAUCUAUGAUAAAAUAAAAAUAAAUAAAUAAAAAUUAAAAGAAAAAAAACAUAUCUUAUCGGUUGGUAAACUUGUUAAACCUAUAAUUGGGUAAGCCGAGCUUAUACGCCAAACCUGUGAACUAAGUUAUGAACUCCAUUGAGAUUAUAAUUUUUUUUUUCAAAACAAUUUUUUAUUUAAUUAUAUGAUAACAAAAAUAGAUGAUUGGAAAAUCAAACUCCAUUGAGAUUAUAAUUUUUUUUUUCAAAACAAUUUUUUAUUUAAUUAUAUGAUAACAAAAAUAGAUGAUUGGAAAAUCAAACUCCAACCCUAUACCGAAAUUUAUUUUUUAAAUCAUGAUAACCUUAUAAAAGGUAACACAAAAUCAAUUAUAAAAUUGAAUUUCCAAUUAACAAAGUAUCUAAAAAAAAAACUAAUUUUAAAAAGUUAAACUUGCCAGACAUGUGAACUAAGUCAAUCGGCCAAACUUAUGAAUAGAUCCAUGAACUUUAUAAAAUUUAAUAAUAUAACUUUUUUCUUAAACUAUUUAUUUUUUUACUAUAAGAGAAAAAAUCUAGACAACAAAAUAGCCAAGUUCAAUUAAAAAAAAACUCCAUUAAACAUAAAUCAUGACAAGCUGAGUUAUCCUCGCAAACCCGCAAACCAUGCUAAUCUUAUAAAAAGAAACAAAUUAUGAAGUCAAAUUCUCAACCAUCCCAGUAUUAAAAGAAGAAAUUGAUAAACAAAAAUUUGAGAAAAUAAAUCAUAAAAAAUCAAAAACAAAAAGAAAAAGGAAAAAAAGCAAAACAUCAUGGAUUACUAUUGUCAUUCACAGUACAAUGUGUGUGAGUGAACAAUAGUUUCCUCACACCCUUUAAUUUUUGUUACUUUAUAAAAUUUAAUAAUAUAACUUUUCUCUACAACUUUUUUUUAACAAUAUGAAAAGAAAAAUAGACUAUAAAAAAAUUCAAGUUCAUUUUUUUUUUUAAAAAAAAAUCCAUUAAACUCAUAAAACGGGGCAACCUGAGUUACUUUAGCAAGCCUGUAACCAUACUAACCUUAUAUAAAGGCAAAAUAAAAAAAAGCAAAUAACGAAGUUCAAUUAUAAAAAAUCUCAAUUUAAAAGAUGAAAUUAAAAAAUAGAUUUGAAAAAAAAUCAUAAUGAAAUUUAAAAAAUAAAAAAUAAAAAAGAAAGCAAAACAUUACUAUGUUACUAUUGUAACACAGGACAAUGAGUGUUGGGUGAACAAUGGUUUCCCCAACAUCCUUUAAUUUUUGUUAUUUUAUAAAGUUUAAUAACAUGAUUUUUUUCUAAAAUUAUUUUCUUAACAAUAUGAAAAAAAAACUAUAAAAAAGCCAAGUUUAAUUUUUAAAACCCCACCAAAUCCAUAAAUUGAGACAACUUGAGUUACAUUGACAAAUCCACAAAUCUUAUAGGAAAAAAAAUAAAAAUAAAAAAUUAAAUUUUAAAUCAUAUAGAUAUUAAAAAAUAAAAUUGACAAAAAUAAUUUUUUACAAAAAUUAUAACAAAAAAAUAUAAAAAGAAACAAAAAAGAAAAAAAACCAUGUGUUUAAGAAGAAGAAAAAAUAUAAGAAAAUACUGCAUAAUAUUUCAUGAGGAAAGCAAUAAUAAUUUCUCCAUGUAUUUUAGCUUUUCUUGUAAUAAUAUUACCUUAUGGAAAAAGAAAACAGAUUUUAUUUUAAAGACACCAAUAAGAAAAAUUUAAUCAACGAAAGAAGGAGCGGUAUGGUUUGAUUCGAUGAAGCCCAUAUAUCUUGAAUUGGGCCUUAUUGGAAUAUAUGGGCUCAAAUAAAAAUUAUAGUAUGUAGUAGGGAAGCCCACUUUGUGCCCAUGUAAAUAAUCCUUUCUUUUCUGAACGAAUGAGAACAGAUUUUGUCAAUUUAAUUUAGAUCAUCGCGUGCAUGUUACCAAUUUUUUUUUAUAUUGGUGUCUGAACUAACUUGUAAAUUAUAUAAGUCUUGAAUUUUUUUUUAUUUGAUAUUAUGGAUGUUUCUUUUAUUAACUUUAUCUAAAAUUUAAGAUUGGAUGCUUAGUUAAGAAUUGGAAACAGUGAAAAUUAUUGGGAACCCUGGUGCAUUUAAGAUUUAAUUGGGGUCAAAAUUCAAUAUAUAUUGUUUUAAAAUUAUUAUUUUAUGUUUUUUAUGUAUUGAUGUAAAAAAUAAAUUUAAAAAAAUAAAAAAAAAUAUUACAAAAAAAGUGUAUUGCUAUUGUAAUAAAAAUGAGUGUAUUACCAAAAACAAAUAUUACCUUGGCAAUCCCGUAAACCACACUAACAUUAUGUAAAGGUAAAAUAAAAAGGAAUAAAUUAUAAAGAUGAAUUCUCAACAAUCUCAAUUUUAAAAAAUAAAAUCAACAAAAAAAAAUUUGAAAAAAAAAUCAUAAUUUUUUUUUUUAAAAAUGCAAAACAUUGUGUAUUACUAUUGUAAUAUAGUACAAUAGGUGUUGGGUGAACAUUAGUUUCCUUCACUUCCUUUAAUUUUUGUUAUUUUAUAAAAUUUCAUAACAUAAUUUUUCCUUAAAAUUAUUUUUUUAACAAUAUAAAAAAAAUAAAUAAUAAAAAAAUCAAGUUUAGUUAAAAAAAAACCCUACUAAAUCCAUAAAUUAAGACAACCUUAAUUACCUUAGCAAACUUGCAAAACAUGAUAAUCUCGUAUAAAAAUAAAAUAAAAAAAAUUACAAAACAAAUUCUCAACAAUAUAAAUAUUAAAAAAAAAAUAACAAUUUUAUUUUAAAUAAUAAUAAUAAAAAUCAAUCAUUAUCUCAUUUUCAAAAUAAAAAAUCCUGGCUUGCUACCAUUUUGGCAUUGGUGAUGGCGAUUUCACCGAGAAGAGAGGCACGCAAUAAGGGAAAGAUAUUUAUUGGAGUUCGCACUACUGUUAAGCUUAUUUCUCCAUCAUUAAUUAAAUAAAUAAAACCAAAAUUAACAGUAACGUAUUCUACACGGUACCGUUUGAAGCCAAGGAAAGAAGUGGAGUGGCGGCGGAGAGGUUGCUUGAAGAGGAUGGGCAAGUGGGCAUUAAGGAAAAAUCCACGCACAAAAAUAGUUUGAACUUUUUUUGAUGCCUUGCCUUUUUCUUUUUUUUUCCUUGUGGAAAUGUUUAUUAAGCAUUGCUGUAUAUUAUUAUCUUGCAGGAUUCUUGGAUCAUUAAUUAUUUUGUGAACUAAACUCUUAGUAUCCAAGCUUAAGUUUAUUGAUAGAAGCAUGAAUGUAUUCUGUUUCUUUGUAGUGUUUGCAUUGCGAUGAGUCAAGUUUUGUUAAUUGUUUUUACUCUGAUUAUACUUGGUUAAGUGUUGUAGCUUAUGUGUUUUGUGAUUUUGUUAAUUUGAUGUGUAAUCACUUAACAUUUUGGUAAUUAGUACUUCAAGAAGAACUGAAUUGAUCAAACUCUAACUUAUUUUCUCUAAGUUUUAUUUUAUUAUUUAUAGUUGAUCUCUUUGUCAAAGCAUAUCAAAUUAAUAACAUCUUCAAUAUACUUAAACUAUAUUAAGGUGAAGAAAUAUAAAUAUAUAUAAUAAAUGGGCUAGCAAUUUUACCAAAUGGGUUAUGCUCAUAUUGUAUUGUGAAAUAGCUUUUUUUCUUGCUACUUGCUUGUAAAUGAACAAAUCAGUUUUUCCAAAUGAAAUAGGCUAGCAGGCACUAAUGAUUUUUAACUUAAGUUUGAUUUGGUUUAUUACAAGUCUUUAAAAUAUCUUCUCAAUAUGGUAGCAUUCUAAAUAGUGAUUCUUCAACUGCCCAAUCAUUUUAACCUUCAAUUUCCAUUUUAACAUCAAGUGGGUAUAAGAGAAAAAAUAGAUUUGGCAUGGGGUCAUUGCAAAGAGGCUCUUGAACUUAAUGUGGGAUGUAAAAAAAAAAAACAAAUUACUAUGCUAUAUUGUGCCAAAGCUUUUGUAGGCGGAGACAUUAAUCGAUUCAAGCAAUAUUUAAUUGGAACUAAAGAAGAAAUGGAACAAUGACGUAAAUGUCCUUCGAAUGUUCAUCAUCAAAUGCUUUUGAAUCUUCAGAGAAAUGUUGAAAAGAAAAGGAGAGCUAGAGAAUGAAAGUAGAUUAUAAUCCAUAUAGUGCAAAAUAAAGGAAGUAUGAAGAGAGGAUGAUUAGACAAUUAAAAGAUGACGAUAAAGAUGACGACGAUGAUUAUACAAAAGCUAAUGGUAAGAAGCAGAUUUUUACCAUUGAAGGAUGCCAAAAAAUGAAAGAGUAAAAUCACUAGUAUUGUUUAACAAUCAAUAGAAAGUCGUGGAAAAUAGAAAGAAAAUAUAAUAUUAAGGGUAUAUUUUAUGCCAAGAACAACUCAUGGUGCUCAAAAGUCUCUCCAAAGUUGUUGGAAAAAAAAAGAAGAAUAAGUUGUAGAACUAUUUGAUCUUGCUAUAACAAAAUUGAUGAUUGAUGCAUGUGUGUCAUUCAAUAUUAUUAACUCUGUUUACUAUCAGCAUGCCAUAGAUGUUGUAACAACCACGGGUCCUGGUUAUAAAUGACUAAUUUUUUAUGCUCUUCAUGGUUAUUACUUGACAAAGACGGUUGAUGAAGUGAAGAUUUAUGUUAAGAGUUAUCGAGAAACUUUGAAGAAAAUCGAUUGCACAUUGAUGACUAAUGGAUGUACAAAUUAAAAGAGGAGAACUUUAAUUAAUUUCUUAGUAUAUUAUCCUAAAAGAACUGUUUUUUUUUUAAACAAUGGAUACAUCAAAAGCCUCAAAGACUGUUGUGUUAUUGCAUAAGUUGUUCAGAGAGGUUGUUUUAUUUGUUGGGCUUGAAAGCAACAUGCAUAUGGUGACUGAUAAUGCUUUUAAAUAUGUUGUUGCUGGUAAAUUGUUGGUUGAAGAAUUUCCUUCAAUAUUUUGAUCUCCUUGUGUUAUUUAUUGCAUCAACCUCAUGCUCCAAGAUGUUGGUAAGCUAUAAUUAGUAUUACAUAGUAUAUUUAUAAUCAUUGAUAUCCAUUGUAUUUGAUGAGAAAGUUCAAUGGAGGGAAAAAAAUACUUCAGUCAGCUCCUACUUACUUUGCUACUAAUUUCAUUACUUUGCGAAACAUUUUAGUACACAAAGACAAUUUGAGAGCUAUAAUGACAUCUAGAGAAUGGAUCUCCUCUGUUGAUGCUAAAGAUAUCAAAGAAAAAAAAUUUGUUGCUAUUAUGUUGAACUCUAUGUUUUGGGAAGAAUAUGCAUUAAUUAUAAGAAUGAUUCGAACCAUUAGUUCAAGUUUUAUAAAAUGUUGAUAGUGAUUAUAAACCUUUUAUGAGAUAUUUAUAUAAGGCUAUCCAGUCUGUAAAGGAAGAAAUGUUGAGGAGAAUUCAAAAAAAAAGGGCUAAGGCGCAACCUUUUCUAGACAUCAUUAACAAUAAGUGGGAUGGACAAUUAUAUAGGAAGCUUUAUGUAGUGAGAUUUUAGUUGAAUCCUUGGUUUCAAUAUGAUGUAAAUCUAAUAGGUAGGUAUACAAACACCAUUUUUGGACUCCUAGAUGUUGUUGAGAAGUAUACAAAUAGAAAUACAACUUUGCUAAGCAAGUUUACAAUUGAAAUGAAGUUGUUUAGGAAUUCAAAACAUGAUUUUGAUAGAGUGUUCGCGAGAAAUGAUUGCACCCAUUUUACUUUCAGGUAUAUUAUUAUUUUCAUAUUCAAAGUAAUUUAAAAAUAUUGUCUUGACAUAAUCUCACUUAUUAAUUUUAUAUAUAUAUGAAUGGUGAGUGACGUAUGGAACUGGAGCUCCAAAUCUCCAAAAGUUGGCUACACGAGUUUUAAGUUAAACUUGUAGUUCUUUGGGAUGCGAGUGGAAUUGGAGUAUUUUUGAGCUCAUCCACUCUAAGAAGAGAUCAAUUGAAGCAUCACAGACUUAAUGACAUAGUUUACAUCCAUUGUAAUUUAAGAUUAAAACAAAAGUAUUUUAUUUUAUUUAAUUCUUCAAAAGUUAUUUUAUAUUAUUGAGUAGCAUUAUCAAUACUUAUAUUGUAUAGCUUCACUUUGAUUUUGUAGGAAUUAUUGAAAAUGAUGUAAUUAUGAUCCAAUUAAUUGAGGCAUUUUCCUAACAAUGAAAAUUAUGUAGUAAAAUAUAAUCCAUCAUCUUUAACAACCAAAAAAGUAGAAAUCUUUCACCGUGAUUUAUCGACCAUGACUAUUCAAGAUAUUUUAAAUGAAGGUAAUGGAAGAUUUGAUCCUUUAGUUAUUAGUUUGUUUAAAAAUAAAUUAUCGUUCAACAUGUAAUGUUUAUUAGUUAAUUAUGUUUCAAUUGUAGAUUUGAUAAAUAUAAAUGAGAUUGAAGAUGACUGUGAUAAUGAAGAUACAUAGGAGCAUGGUGAUGUCGAUAGGCAUUAAUAAGGUUGGCUCAAUCGCAUUAACAUUUGAUUCAAAUUUUGCACCUAUGAACACAUAAAAACUCAAUGCCUACGUUGAAUCAAAGUAAAGAUAUUGACAUGUUAGAAAAGGUGUUGUCAUUCUAAUGAGGUCUUAUACUUUAUCAAAAUUUUAAAUUGUAUCAGUGUUAAGUGUUAAAUAUAUUCUAAUUUUUUUUAAUUCCAAUGGAGUUUGGUCUUAUAUCUUCUAUGUUAAAUUAUUUAUUUCUAGAACAACUAUUUGAUUAUCAUUGUCUUUAAUAUUUUCUUAUAUUUAAGACAAUUAUGUUAAAGGCUUGUUUAUUUAAUGACAAAUGCACCUUUUAAUCUAUUAAUGUUAAUUAAUUAUGCUAGUAUAUAUGUUAAUGUGAUAUUUUCUUGUUAAUCAUGCUAGCAUAUAUGUUAAUGUGAUAUUUUUUUUAUACUAGCUAAAUUUUAUGUCAAAACAACCAUAUUAAUAUAUAUCUUAGUUUUUUACCUGAAUUGAUCGUGACCUCAUUAUUUUACCAGGCAGACCAACUAGUCAGGUUUUAUAAUCAUGCCCAAGUAAUCACUUUCCUUUUGAUAAUAUACCCAAUGCUAGCCUAAAAGGACCUGACCUACCACCAACUUACUAGAAGGGCAAGAAGGUGAAAGGGUAAAUGAAUGAGCCGAAAUACCUUUCUCCCUAUGUAAUGUCCUGUGACUAUAUAAAGAACAAGAAAGUGAAAGGGUCAUGGAUGAUCUUUUUCACCUUCUUCUCUUCCAUUUCUUUCCUUUUCUCAAACUUGGUUUUUCCUCCUUUUAUGCAUCCCCUAAUCCCUCGUACUCUAUCUUAUUAAAGGAGAUUUGUUUUGCAAGUAUAUCUACGUACCACUUUCUUCAUUUCCAAUCAACUUUCAUUCAAUUUUGUUGUGCAAAGGGCCCUCGUAUUUUUGGAGUUUCAUGAGUUGAUCAAUAAUGAUUUCACAUUAUGUCAUAUAUGGUUGAUGUGAUUUUUGGGUCACUUUCCAUCUAAGAAGUUUUCAGUGUACAAUGGUCCUGAGAGAAUUAGAAUUUGUGAUUAUUGAGAAUCAAACCCAAGAUUUAAUCAUUUAAGCUACCUUUAGGUUAUAUCAUGCAUUUACAGCAUGCACUUUUUACUUUGUCAGGUUUUAACACCACUUUUUGGCUAGUUCACCAUGCUUUUAGUAUAUUGCCUAAACAUAAACCAAACUUUCUAACAACUGUGAAGAGCUUUAUAUUAAGAAUUCCUUGUGAGAUCCAUGUGUCUAAGGAGAACACCAACGUGAAAAUAAUCGGUGUAUGGUAUUGACAUUGCUAACUUUAGAUUGUUGAUGGUACCCAAAAGAGACUUAGAUUAGUGCGGAUUCCUGAAUUUCCAAAGUGUAAAGCAAUCCAGCUUUUAGUAAUUUGCGACAUGUACAUGACAUUAUAUAUUUUCUAAGUGCCAACCCAUAUUUAUUUGUAGAAUGUCCUUAACCGAAUCAACAUGGGUUGUCAUAAAGUAGUAUAUAAAGCCACCAUUCAUGGUAAGAUCAAAGAAGACAAGGGAACUUGUACCCAAGUGAUCUCUCACUUCCCUUAUCGUGUGCUAUCACUCUCUAAUAACAAGUGGGCAUGUAUAUAGAAAGAUGAUCAAGAGUAUGACACCCACGAUGUAAAGACGAGGUUAUCUACAAUUUUUUUAGUUCGUUACUUCCACAUUUCAUGGGUGUUGAGAAGCAUGAAUGCAUAUGACCACUUUGCGUGAUGCGUCUAUAUACCUGAGAGAGCUGAGGGAAUAUGAUAAAUAGCUACUAAUUGCCAUUUCACUAGUGCACAUGUAUGAUAAUAAUGUGUUAGGUAGUCUAUCCCAAACACUUUUAAAUGAAACCGUUCAUUUUUAUGUUUUAAAAAUAUUUUUAAAAAAAUUAAUUUUUUUAUUUCACUCUCAUUACAUCGCAUUUUAAAAAAUUACUGUUAUUAUUCUCUCAAACAAUGUGUAUAUGAAUUAGUUUGCAUCAAUACACUUGAGUAGCGAGUUAAGGAUUUAAUUAGUAGCGCAAUUUGAACCUUAAAACUCAAGUUGAAUGGAUUUUCUUCUUGUAAAAAUAACUAUUAUUUCAACAUGUGUUUUUUCUCAUUAACUCACUUUAGGGCUUUAUUGUUGUAAAUAAUGAAGACUACUUCAAAAAGUUUUUAUCUAGUGUUUAUAUAAUGAAUUUUGAUACGAGUCUGGCGACCUCAAUAGACAUAAGACUCUUGGGUUUAACAAUCAUGCAAGACCUAUUAAAAUAUAGGUAUGGAGAAUGUGCCAGAUCUAAAAUUCUUGGGUUUGACAAUCAAUCUAACUCAAGACAAACAUGAGUCUAGAAAUGGUGUCAGGCCUAAAAAACUUUUCUUUGAAUUAGUUUUCUAACAAGCAUAAAAUCCUAAUGAUUUUUUUUAAAACAACGAAACUCUAUAAUUCUUCAAUAGUUUUUUUAUUCUUUAACUGUUGUAACAACUCUUUAAUUUCUAUUUUAUUUUCUACCUAGUUGUUACAUGUUAGCAGUCUAUAUAUACCACACACUUAUACAGUCAAAGUGUGCUGAAAAAACAAUAGUAUUAUUUUUUUGUGUUUGAAAAACUUGCUAGUAUUUUCUCUUUAUCUUGAUCGUUGUUUCUGUAACCCUCUGGUCUUUAGAGAAGGAACUUGUUAGAACCUGGAAGGUAAUUUUGUAUUGAGAAAAUAUCCUUAAAAAUAAUAUCUAUACACACCUCAUGUUAUACUUUGUUUCUAUUCUUAUUUACAUUCUUACAAUAUUUACAGCAGGUAAUCACAUAAAUCCUUUGACAAAUCAAGAUUCAUUAACGAGGGAUAAAAGACUUGAUAUAUUUUUUAGAGCUUCGAAAGAUGGUAAGGUAGCUUGCUUCCAAGCCAUUGCACUAGAUGCGCAUGGACUCCCGAUUGUUAACACCCAUUAUCAUCCAUAUCCAGCAUGCGCUAAAGACGACCACCUCCUAAAAGCAAGCCACAAGUGACCAAAAUGAGCGGAGGGGAAAGACUCCAAAGACAAACUCAAUCUCUUACAAAGUGUGGACUGUGGAGAACAGCACCAUCCUUGGAGGUUUAGGGUUCAUGCCCACCAAAAGAUAAUUGAGUUAUGGUCAUCUUCUAUACAGUUUCAGGCCCAUCAAUUGUCCUGUGUCCAGGUCCACUUCUGUUGCUCUCUGGGCCACUUCUUAUAUAUGUAAUUUCUUUUUUCUUUUUCGUGCCGCGAACCAUUUUUUACUUUUAUUUUACUUGCUGAAGCCCUACUUUUGUUUUAGCUGUCUGCUUCCACCUUCCUGUGUAUCCUACCUGCACAGACACAGAGGGACGGAGAAUUAUUAAAAAAAAAAAACGAGAAAUGGCAGUACAUCUCGACAAUCUAAUGGAAGAAGAGGAGAACGAAGAAGACAAUGCUCUGUUUGAAGGAGACGGCUUAGUUGACCAAGAUUCCGAUAUUCCUCCUCACCUCCUUGACCUCGCCCGCGCCGCUCAGCUCGGUGACCUCGACGCUCUUCGCAAUGCUCUAGGUUGAUUCCUUCUCUUUUUCUCUUGCCCUUUUUUUUGUCCUUUUGGGUUUUUUUCCACUUGUACAGUUGGCCCUGAUUUGCUUGAAUUUCUAGUUGUUGGAUAUUUGGGUUAGGUUCUUGCUCAAGGGUUUACUUCUUAAUUAGGACUGUUGUGAUAAAAGAAAAUACGUGGGUUGAUUGGAUUUUUGAGUAUUAGGAUUGGUCUGUGUUCAUAUUGGUAAGUUUGGAAGGUUUUUUUAGUAAGCUGACCAGUAAUCUCUAUUGAGUUGCUAAUGAAUGGACUGGAGAUUCAGCAAUGGUUGGUGGGUGAGUGGACUUCAGUUGGAGGAAUAGCUGUAGACAUCCUGCUGAGAUAGGGUUUUAUUAUCUUCAUGUGAAAGAGAGCGAGAGAGAGAGGCCUGUUGCUGCUAAUCAACUGAAUAAAUAAGCUUGAUGUGGAGCUGUGUAUAUUCCUACUUAUGAUCUGUGGAAGACGCUGUAUAAUAUAAAGGAUCUCCUUUGGGUGUUAGUUCUUAUAAAAACUACCCUACCGCCUGCGUUUAGGCUAGCUACACUUCUCACUUCUAAAGCCUGGUUCUGCAUCUGAGUAGAUAGAUUUGGUCAUUCGUGUCCGGUGUUUCGAAAAUUAAAUAGUGGAAAUGAUUUUAUGAAAGAGUUUAAUAACGGGUUCAUUGCCUGCCUAUAAAGUUAAUAAUGCUUGAACUUGACCCCAAAAGUGAAGCUGCUUAAUUGAAUUUUGGAAUGCGAGAUUCCUAAAGAUUGGGGUUUGAACUUGAGCAUUAUCAAACAUAACACGUUUCAUUCUUUGAUUUUUCAUGGGAUUAGAAGAAUAUAUUGCUGCCGAUUUAGAUCUUUUGUUAGCUUCACUAUGCAGGAUUUUUUAGUUUGUGCGAAUGUCAAAUUGAUGAUGGUUUGUUACAUGACUUAGAGGUUAUAAAACAAUAUUGUUGAACAUGGGCAGUGACUCGUACAAUGAUUAGAAUCUUCUGGACUUGCAGCCAAUAGGUUUCUAGUCCAAGGCUUUGAGAGUAGCUAGUUUAUAACAAAAUGUGAAAUGGUAAAAAAAUUUCCUUUUUGAAGUAGAAAGUAAUGGAAGAUUGGUAAUUGCAAGGUUUGUAAGAAAUCUCUAGAGUUAGGGAUGAUGUGUGCAGAAUUCAUUCCACCCAUUAAGUUAGAAAUCAGAAGUUUGAAAGCACAAAAAAAUUAUUUAAUGUUUUCAACUGCCAUUUCAUUCCUGUCAUCAUUGCGUGGCACUAAAAUGCCACCUAAAGUCAAAUAGGUGGAAGAUGGUGACAUGGCUCUCCAUUUCAUUUCUGCUCAUACUUUAGUUUUUGGUUCAGAUAACCUGAAUGGCAGCAUUGAUGAACCUGUGGAAGAUGGUGACACGGCUCUCCAUUUGACAUGCCUGUAUGGAUAUUUACCCUGUGUCCAGGUUAGUGGUCUCGAUUUAUUCUCUUCUACUGCUUUUUGGUGGUGCUUUAUAGUGUUAAACUGUACUACAAAUUAUUUCACUUUCCUCUGUAGCUACUCUUGGAAAGGGGAGCAAACUUGGAGGCCAAGGAUGAAGAUGGGGCGAUUCCUCUGCAUGAUGCUUGCGCAGGGGGUAAGGACAAGAAUUUAUCACCAUCAACUUGUUCUUAAUUCUUUCCCCGUAAAAUUAUCAAAACUAAUGUUGAACUUUUCUUUUUUGCUCCCCCCCGCCCUUGUUCUCUGCUGCAGGAUUUACUGAGAUAGCCCAACUUCUACUGAACACUGCUAGUAGUGCAGAGCGUGUGAAAAUGAUGCUAGAGGCAGUUGAUGAUGAGGGUGAUACUGUGAGUUCCAAUAAUAAAUUGAAUGGUUUUCGAGUUUUGGUAGGAGGCCGUAUUCUUAGAGCUGACUGGAAAUUGGUUAGGAGGAGAAAAUAGGGCGAAAAAGAAAUGAUGUGAUUCCUGUUUCCUGUUUCUUUUUAAUCUUGUUGGGAUUGUUGUGUUGGGCCAGUGAGCUGAUGUCAUUGCUGUGGCUUUGCCCAGUCCUGUAACUGGUGGGAGCUAACGAGGGUUCUUAGAGUGACAGUUUAUUGGACCUGUAGCUGUGUUUUAAACUCCCUCCUCGCCCCCCUGUCAACCCUUGUAUAUGUAACACUAUUCUUUCUUUCAUUUCACUAAUCACUGAUAUUAAAACCCUUUCGCAGCCUCUUCACCAUGCAGCAAGAGGUGAACAUGCUGAUGUUAUUAGAUUGUUGCUGGCUUCUGGUGCCUCCGCGACAACAGCAAACUCAUAUGGAAAGGUUAGCAACCGUUGGUUUCAUUAUGGAGAUUAUGAAUCUCAUCUCCUUCAUUUACUAAUUAAUUGUUAUGGCAGAUUCCAAGCGAACUACCUGAACCAGAUACUGAAGCUCACAGAAUUUUGGAAUCCGCGGGAAGUGCAUCUUCGUGACCAUCUUCAGCUUCCUUACACAAACACAAACUUAUACCUAAUGGUAGUUAGAAAUUUAAGAUUUUAUUAUUAUUAUUAACCACAAAUUUAAAAUGUUCAAUGCUAUCAUUACUGGUGCCAGUGAGUUUUAGAUGAUUGAGAGAAUGGUAUGUGAUUAGUUAGCCCGUGAAUACUUGGUGUUGAAGUUUUUUAAGACACGAGCUCCUUAAUUUCUGGCGAGAAGCUCUCUGAAGUUUAGUCAGCUCUAAAGUAGCAUUGCCUUCCAGUUCUUUUCGUUCCUAGUUGAGUCAAAUCCUGGAACAGCCUCUAAAUGGAGAAUCCAUUUCAGAGUAUAAGAUUAAAAGGGCUCCAUUUAAAGUUUAUACUGAAACAAAUUGGAAGCUGAGAACACCAAUUGCUACCGGCACCUGCGUUUAGGGAUUAAAUCAUACUUCGGAAUGUCCAAUGACUUUAUAAUAUAGUUUCAAGAAAAUAGAACUAGAUUAGAUAAGAAAUACCUUUAUACGUAUAAAGUGACAAUAUAUUUUUGUUAAUGUAAUUAAAGAAAAAGUUUCACUGGAUUGUGUUUUUCUUAAAAAAUUGAUUUUUUUUUUGCUUAAAAUUAUUUUUAUUUUAUAUAUUUUUUAUUGUUUUAAUGUACUAUGUUAAAAAUAUUUUUUUAAAAAAAUAAUAAUAAAAAUACUCUUUUAAUACAUUUUUGAAUCAUUUUAUUAGCAUAAAACAUUUGCUUUCCAUUCUUGCAUCCCAAAACUCAAACACAAAUUAGUCUCAAAACCUCCACCAUGAUUUUCUUGAUGUCUUCAUGUUAAACUUUAACCACACUUUCCUCCCAUCAAUUAGCAUAGCACGAUGCACUUGUACAAUUUGCACAAGGCAUAACAUGAGAACGAUUAAGAUUAUUCCAAAAGCUUAAGAAAACUACUAAAAUAAAAGGAAAUGAAAAACAAAGAGCAAUCAAACCUGAGGAGCAGCAAAGAGAGGAGAGGAUGUGGAUAAUACAGAAUGGCAUGCGAAUUGCGAGGUGUGUAAGUUUGCAUUUAUGAACCUAUUGGGAAAUUAGUAAAAGGCAAUGCAUGAUUGUGUCUGUGAUUCAAAUGGAAUCUAAUUUCUACUUAAUAUGUCAAUCUCCAUAAGAAUCCAAACGAGCUGGAAAACAAAAAACUGGAGAAACAAAAGUUGGAGUAGGGAGAAGCUAGCAAAAGGAAAUAACAUUGAAGAGGGGCAAGGGUGAGUAAAAAAAAUCAAAAAAUAGAUUAAAUCAAGAAAAUUAUAAAAAAAUAACCGAAAAAACCGAACUGUGAAAAAGAAUCGAUUAAACCGAUUCAAAUUUUAAAAAACCGACCGGUUCGGUUUGAUUUUAUAGGUCUGAAACCAAAAAAACCAAACCAAACCGAACCCAAACAAAGAAAACCGAGCCAAAUCAAAAAAACUGAACCAAAAUAAACUGUGUUUUUAUUUAAAAAAAAAAUUUAUUUUGUUAAAUAUGAAUAUGAGUUAACGAGUUGAAAGGUGUCAUUGAAAGCACUUUCUCGAUUCAUUUUUUUAUUAUUUUAUAAAUUGCAUUCUAUUGGUAGUAUCAUUCUCGAAGUGAUAAUAUAUAAUUUAAAAAUACUUAAAUUAUCAUAAUUUUCUUUUUUGUAAACAUGCAUAUUCAAAAGAGUGGGUAAAAAUCUAAUUUUUAUCUUCCAUACAAGUUCAAUAUUUUUUAAAAAAAUGAUCACUUUGACAAGUUUUUUAUUUUUAAGUAUGGACAUCAAUUUUUUAUGAACAGACUAAUCGGCAAGUUUUUUUAUUUUUAGGGAUAAAUAUCAAACUUUUUACGAAUGAUGUAAUCAAUGAGUCUUCUCCAUUUAGAGAUGAACACCAAAAUUCUCUAAUGAUCUAAUUAACAAUUCUUCUAUUUUAGGGACAGACUCUAAAAUUCUUCUAUUUAAACAUCAAAACAAACACUAUCGCACCUAACACAUCCUAAGGAAUCGAAGCAGUCAUUUAUAAACUACAUUAAUCUUGAGGUUGUUCAUUAUCAUUAUCAUUAUAUUUUUUUUUUUCAAAAACACUGCAUCAUAUGUGAAGCAGUCGAUAUCUGCAUGUUUUUCAUUCAAAAUGUGCCUGUUUCCCAUGGAACUGAGUAUUCCGUGGCAGAGAUGCCAUGGUUGUCGAGCUCUGUAAUUUGCUAGCUUGAAGUCGGUGUGCUCUACCAAAAUCAAUCACAGCAGCCUUUUGGCUCUCCCUCUGCUUUGUUGGAUAUGGCUGAUACGGAAAGGUGAGAGAUUUUGAAGUAUCUGUUUUACAUGGAAUAUUAUAGAAGUUCCCGCUGCUUUUACACUAAUUAUGACCAAGAAUUCCCAAUUUGAUAUUUACAUGGGUGAAAACAAAGAUACAAAAACAGAUGAGACGAAGAUAUAAACUCACAACAACUGAAUCAAUGGAAAUAUGGAAAGAUUGGCCCACAAAAACAAAGGCAAACAAAUUUACACAAGCUAAUAUAUGUUAUUUCAAUGCCUGAAUUCCCAGAAUGAGAUGGUACACUAGUGAUCAAGGCAACUCAUUGACAACAGGAACAGUGCAAACACAAAGAAACAAGGCAAGCAAUUAUCAUAUACACGAUAUGUCCAUGAUUUGUUAAGGUGGGAAUUCAUUGUACAUGCGCCAUCAGCAGGGCUACUUGUGAAUUUUAUUGAUAUGUAAGUCAUGCUUCUCAGAUAGAGAGGCCUUCUGCUGCAGCCUUUAAGAGCAACAGCCACCACCACUCGAAGGUGGAUGCUGAUCUGGUUUCUGUUUUAAAAGGUUUCUCUUCACUGCCGUGGAUCCUUCUUCCAAAAGACUAGGGACCUCCAUUAUCUAAAACACAAAUUAUUAAAUAUCAGAAUUGAGAACAACAAAUGUAAUUCAUUUGUAUAUAAUCUGAAUCGCUUUUAUAUCUCUAGGGCCAUAGCAGCGUCUUUUCUGGCAGAGAAACGACAAAUGGGAAAUUAUUUAAUAUAUGUUUUCACCAUUAGACAUCAACCAAGCUGACAAAUUAAUAUUUUAUGCUUUCAAAUGAAAAUGGACACGUAUGCUAGACGCAAGUAGCACUAUCUUUGAAAAAACAGGAAGUUACCUUACAAGAGAGCUCCAAUUGCAAAUGCCGCUAUACUAUUUUAAUUCUGCUCAUUUUAACUGAUCGUUUAUUCUAUUACCAGGGUGGCAAAAAACUUAAUCGUGAUUAUGGAAAUGAAUGAUGCAUGUAUCAUGUUGCCAGACAGUUCAUGCACUCUCAAAUAGUACCUUCAAUGCCAGCUCUUCAAAGCAUUGCUCCACAUUUUGUCUAGUUUUAGCACUGCAUUCAAGAAACAUACAUCCAUGCUCUUUAGCAAGAGACAUCCCCUCGUCUCUAGUUACGUCCCUUUCAGAAUCCUGAAAUCAUUGGAAAAAAUAUAACAAUAAUAUGAAGAGAAAUGAAAAGGAGUUUUAGGCACACAUUAGACUGCACCAGGACAUGGAUAAAACGGACGAUUUUUAAAUACGAGUUCCACUGGUCUACAGUGACCUUGAAUUAAAGAUUUAUUAUAGUCUUCUGUUAACUUAUUCAUCCUCUUGGACCAGGGGGGAAAACUUACUUUAUCAACUUUAUUUCCUACAAGCAUCUUGACACAAUCCUGAUUUGUGGAGUAAAGGUCAACCUCUUUAGUCCACACAUCUGAUAAGUUCGUGAAGGUUUCUCUCCUUGUCACAUCAUAAACUGUAAUUUAAGCAGAUAUCAGUUAUAGAAUGGGCAGUCAAAAUUAUGGGGGGGGGUAUACUUUCAAAGAUGUUCUCAAAAAAAUAAUCAAUUAACAAGUGGUAGAGUACUAGUUGGAGUUAUAGUUACUAGCUUGUACAUGACUGAAAUUACUAGCAUGUAAAUGACAGAAACAAUCAACGUGAUUUUCAGCAUGGUGAAAUUCAUAUUAAUUUGUCCCACCAAAAUGAUGAGAAAGACCAAACAAGUAGAUUCCCAUAACGAGCUGAAUAAUAUAACAAAAAUUCUGCGAGGCCUGCAGAAUGCAUGUGCCGAAGCUGGUUCUCUAGGUUCUCUAUUGUAGGGGUAAAUCAUGAUAACAAAUGAGAUAGUCAUCAGGAUGCUACUGUGUUGAAGAGGUUAAGAGAUAAGAUGAAAGCACCACUUUCCCCUACUUUGGAAAGCCUUGUUGGGGAUAUGCUUGUUAAUAAUUCUAUAUUUAUUACUAGUAAGCUAAUGGAUUACUUCAAAUUUUAAGGGAAUCUCCUAAAAAAAUGGACUGUGAUACUAUAACAACCAUUUUCAAUAUAAAUGGAAUACGAUAUUCUAUAUUCAGCAUGAUAUAUAUACAGCAAUAUACAAGAGUUUAACUACAAAAACAAAUAGAAAUUAUCCUAGAAAUGAAGUUAGCAUGAGAGCUAGAUUCAAAUACUUUGCGAUCAGAUUUUCAUGGCCAUAAAGGACUUUGCACUAAUUCCUAUUCAUGAUUAUUUGCAGGUUGCAAGCAGCACCACAUUCUUAAUGAACAAAAUCACAUGAUGGAUACGGUUUUUAGCUUACCAAGAAUGAUCCCUUGGGCAUUUCUGUAGUAAGAACUAGUCAGCGUUCUGAAUCUCUCCUGUCCAGCUGCAAGAACCAAAAUGAUAUUAUGAAUCAAAUUACACAGAUUGGAACAUAAGUUUCAUGACUAGUAUCAUUAAUGUUAAGGGAAAAAAGAGUUCUAAGUUAAAAAGAGUGCAAAAGUCAAUGUUUAUUCAAGCCAGAAAAGCCACUCCACAUCUCACUGCAGAAAAAGGAAGUGAACCGUUUUUCCACAGUUUCUGUGUUAUAUUUGAUAUCUAACUGUUCCAUUGCUAGCAACUUUAAAAUUAGUAAGAACAAAGUUUAAGAACCCUUUGACAUUAUUGGCUCCAUCACUCAGCUCAUAAGGUCAAAAUGUAGUCUACAUAGUCAGGUAAUAUAAACUAAAAGAACAGAACGCUGUGAUUGCAUUUUAUACCAGUAUCCCAAAUUGUCAGCUUCAAUCGCUUUUCUCCUACUGUUAGCUGCUUGAUCUUAAAAUCCACACCUUCACACAAAGACAAAGACAAAGAAUCUCAAUGCAUAAUCAUUACAGAGAACUCAAUUUCCAGUAGAUCAACUGAAGUUACAAUUUUCUAUCAGAGUAAACACACGCAACUUCAUAAUUAAUUAUCUAAUCACACAGUUAAGUAGUUUAUGCAUUGAAGAAUCCAACAUAAAAAUAAGGCCCAACUACUUGUGGUUGACAAAAAGAAACAGAUUUUACUUGCUAUAUAAACGUCACCAACUAAUAAAUCAUACUAAAAUAAGGAGCUCUUAAUAUAUCUGAUUAAGAACAAUCAACAAGAAGCAAAAACUCAUAACUGGCAACCAUGUUUUAUAAUCACUGAACAAGUUUCAACCAUGAAGAGCCAAAGGCGUUACAGACUGUUAGCUAGCUAAGAAUCCACAGAAGAGUAAAAAGAAAGCAAAGGACAGAGAAGGUUUUAAUACCAAUGGUUGGUGCUAGAUCCUCAACGGAACUGGAAAUGAAACUGACAAGAAGACUGCUUUUGCCAACCCCAGAAUCACCGAUCAACAAGAUCUUGAAUGAUAGAUCAUAUGAUCCACUGCUUUGGCCUGAAGAUGAUCCCAUUCUUAUUCUUCCAAUCCAAGAAAUCAAAACCCUUUAUCGUCUCUCUCUCCUUUUCUUUUCUUUUUAUUUAGUGCUAUCUACACUUUGUUUCAAGACAAUUUUGAACUAGAAAUUCCCUUUUCGAUAAUAAUCUAGACUGUGUCUGCGUUGUCUGUAAUGAUGAUCAGGGCUGUUGGCCUUGUUUUUCCCCCCUCUCUCUUAAUAAGUACAGAGCGAAAGAGAAAGAAAUGUGCGUGCUAUAUGUGUAGGGGGGAUUAAGGAGAGAAAAGGAGGAAAGAAAAGUAAUGGCAUCAAUGUUUUCUUUUAAGAAAGAGAGUGAAGCUAAAGAAAACGGCUAACUCGCUGGAGAGUAAGAGAAACACCUGACACCAACGUUAUUCUUUACUUCUGAGUGUCUUUAGCUUCUCUCUUUUUGAGUAAAUUAUCUUUAGUCCCUGGAUUUUGAAAGUAAUUAUCACUUAGUCCUUAAUGUCUUAAAACCUACGACUUAGCUCUUGAUGUCUUAAAAAGAGGACUUGGACUUGGAUAACUAAUAAAAUGCAUUAUUUUCUUAAAAAAGGAAAGUAAAUGUUACUUUUUUUCAUUGAAUCAAAAGUAAGUGGUCACGAAAUAUUAAGUAUAUUCACUUAUUAUGUCAAAAAAAUAUCUUUCUUUUUAUAACUUGACUAAUAGCUCCGUAAUUAUGAUAGUUGUGACUAAUUAAGUGAAGUUUUAAUUAAAAAAAAGUACUUCAUCACCUUAAAAUUAAAAUAUUUUGAAAGAAAAAAAACACCAUCUACUUCACAAAAACAUUUGCUUCUUCUGUGUUGGUUUUCUUUGAAAAUUUAAAUUAUCAAAAUCAACAUUUGGAAUUUAUAAAUGACAAUAGUCAAGGGACUAAACUAUAAACACAAGAGAAUAAAGUUACAAUGAGGUUUCCAAUUCAGGGACUAAAGAAUAAUUUACUCGUCCUUUUUUUUUUAUUCUUGCCCCGAGAUGCGAUGCCGUUUUCGCGGAACACGGCCAGCUGGAGUUAUUCUCCCACACGCGGUGUUAGCACGCUCCGACCGUCAGGUGAGGGGGUAUUGUCAUGGUAGAUUAGGCAAAGUGUUAAAAGUUCAUUUAUUCUAAAGCUGUGGAGGGGACUGAAGCCGUAGCUAUAGAUAAAUCAAAACCAUCUGCAUCCCAUUUGUUCAAUUUCUUUAGGGUUUAUAGUGAUGCAUUUUUUGGACUUUCUUUCAAAAGAAAUAUUUUGGGAUUUUCUUUUCUCGGAGAAUUUCUUUUGAUAAUUUGUGACAAGCAUAAAUAAUAAUAAUAAUAAUAAUAAUAGCACCCCAUCAGACGAGUAUUUGAGCCAAGUAAUGGAAGAAAAGGGUGGCAGUAAGACAACAUCAUUAACAUGUACAGUUAGAAGCGCCCACAACCUUGAAGGCUUUUGUUUUUUGAACUCAUCAAAUUAGCACAUUGCAUGCGAGUUUUGUCAGUGGGCUCAACCAAAAAGUUAACUUCUAGUUUGUGGCGAUCACAGAAAUAAUUGAAAAGUUGAUGUAAAUUUAAUUUUUGGUAUAAAUCCAUGUGGAAGUCCAGUCUUUUAGUACAGUAAGUUUGCGUGCGUAGGGGGGCUUGACUGUUUUGCUUCCAUGGCAGAGCAAAGCUAAGCUUGAAUGGUGGAAGACAAUCAUAAGAGGUAAAGAAGAAUAACACGGAUGCUUUGGACCCAUCGGUAGGCUGCGUCCCUUUCUUUAGAAUCCAAGAAAGCACCUCUCCCGGUGGUGAUAGCAGCAAUCACCACCGUCACGCCUUUGAAUUCUGUGUUUAGGAGACCUGUCCAAAUCAUCCCUUAAAUACUUGGUAAUUUACUAAGAUUUUGGACACAGUGGUCUAAAAUUGUGGACUCCAUGUUUGCACGUUCAACUGCAGGGUCUGCCUGGGUCUUUAAAGAUUGUAGUCCAAGUUUGGUGAUUGUGAUCCUUGACCAUGGGUAUGGAACCACUGGCAUUUAUUUUAUUUUAUUGGUUUCUUGCUCAAGUGAAGAAUACAAUGGCCAUACUUGAAAAUUACUCACCAAAUAAGUAUUUUCUAGUUCCGUCACCCGCACUACGUCGCAAACUCACUUUUAUUUUUGUAAAAAAUAUCAUAAAAAUCUAAGAUUCAAGAGAAUUGAGUCCUACCACAUACCCAAGAGAAUUGGGUCCUGACGUAGUAUCCAAAAGAAUUAGUUCUUGAUGCAGCACUCAUUAGCCUUGGGUCUAGACGCUGAACCCAAGAAAUUUUUUUUCAAUAUUAAUAACUUUACCCUUCAAAUGAAAUUUAUUUUUGUUUUUUAAUAUUAAUAAUAUUUUUUUCAAAUUUAAUAAGUAUUAUAUUAAUGAUUUUAACCAUAAUAAUACAAAUAAUAUUUAUAAUACAAAUAAUAGUAUUUUUAAUAUUAAUCAUAUUAAUUAAACAAAAAUAAUAAUAUUUAAAAUAUAAAUAAUUAUAUUUAAAAACCUAAAAUCCAAAAACCUUAGGUCCUAACACCAACCCAACGCGCAAUUCUGCAGGCUGACCCAAGAGAAUGGGGUCUUGAUGGGGGAUCUAAUUUGCUUGGGUACGACUUCAGAUCCCAAAGUUAAUGGGGCUUCAGUCCCAAGGCUAAUGGGUCCGCUGUCAGGAUCCAAUUUUCUUGGACCUAGCGUAAGGACCUAUUAAUGAUUGUCUAAGUGCAUUGGAUCCUGAUGAAUAAGGACCCAAGCAAAUUUGAUCUAGACGCCGCACCCAAGCAAAUUUGAUCUUAACACAGGACAUAAGAAAAUUAGGUACUAUGCAAGACCCAUUAGCCUAGGUCGUGGUGUCAAGACCCAUUAACCUUGGGUCUUGACGCAUAAUCUAUAGUCUUGGAUUAGACGAGGCUACAAGACCCAAGGCAUUUGAGUCCUGAUACAAGACCCAUGAGAAUUAAGUCCUUACACAAGACAUGUAGUCUUGAGUUAGACAGGGCUGUAAGACCGAAUGCAUUUGGGUAUAUACUCUUGCCACACCCAAGCAACUUGGGUGAGGCAUCCCUUUCCAGCCCAAAGUUUUUUUGGUCUAAAAAGAGAUCAUUAACCCAAGUUAAUAAUAAUAAUAAUAAUAAUUGAUUUUUCUCUUCAAAUCAAUUCUAUAUUUUUUUAUAGUAAUAAUAUUUAUUUCAAAUUUAAUAAUAUUAAUGAAUAUAAUAAUAUUAAUAAUAUUAUUAAAUUCGUCUAACCCAAGCUCUUAUAAUUUUUAAUCCCUUCAAAUCAAACUUAUAGUUUUUCUUCAAUAGAAAUAAUAUUUUUCUAAAUUUAAUAAUAAUAAUAAUAAUUUUACCCUUCAAAUGAAAUAUAAUUUUGUUUUUCAAUAUUAAUAAUAUUUUUUUUUCAAAUUUAAUAAGUAUUGUAUUAAUGAUUUUAACUAUAAUAAAAAUAAUAAUAUUUAUAAUACAAAUAAUAGUAUUUUUAAUAUUAAUCAUAUUAAUUAUAACAAAAUAAUAAUAUUUAUAAGACAAAUAAUAAUAUGUUUUAUAUCAAUACUUUUAAUUAUAAUAAAAAUAAUUAUAUUUAGAAACCUAAGACUCAAGAACCUUGGGUCAUAACAUAGGACCCAACACGCGGUUCUACAGAUCUUAGGUACUCAGGACUGUACACCCAGUCAGGGAGUCUUCAGACCUGCUUGCCUGGGUCUACAGCCAAGCAUGUGAAUCUGGCCCUAGAGUCCAGGGAUUGGCAACCCAGCGCCAGGUGUCUGUAGCCCCUGCAACCCCACCCAAACACGAAUUGACCAUUUUCUCCCCAACUAAAAAGACAAGCUCAUCCCUUUACAAUCUUUGCAACUCUCUGUAGAAAGGGUAGUUCUGCCAUUAUACUGCUUCAAACCAUAGUGCUUUUAACAAAGAGCAAACCUAAACAGUACAAUCCAUGGUAAAAUCACUCACAGUCUAUAAUACUUCCAAACAGUACAAUCCACAGUGAAAGCACUUACAAUCCAUAGAAAUUACAAUUUACUAAUGUGAUAACAACAAUAGUAAUAGUAAUUCUUAAUUUUACCCUAUAAAUCAAAUCUAUUUUUGCUUUUCAAUAUUUUAUAAUAUUUUCUACAAAUUUAUUAAUUAUUAUAUGAAUAAUAUUAAUUAAAAUUAAAAUAUAAUAUUUAUAAUAAACAUAAUGAUUUUUUUAAUAUUAAUUAUAAUAAAAAUCAUAAUAUUUAUAUCACAAUAAUAAUAUUCUUAAUAUUAAUACUUUUAAUUAUAAUAAAGAUAACAAUAUUUAGAAUACAAAUAAUAAUAUUUAUCAUAUUAAUAAUAUUAUUAAACUUAUUUGGCCAAAGUUUUUAUAGUAAUAAUUUUUUAUUAAAAAAAUUAUUAAUUAUUAAUGAUAACAAUAACAACAACAACAACAACAACAAUAAUUAUUAUCAUAUUUUUUUCAUUUUUCUUCUAUGCAGGGUUUGCAGACUCAGCCGCACAUGUCUUUAACCCCUAAGGAGGUCUGCAGAACCUAGGUGCUAGGGGUGUUCACGGUCCGGUUUUAAUCCAAAAAUUCAACCGAACCGGAAAAUAACAUUCUUUAUUAAUAUAACCCGAACCGAACCGAGAACCGGUUCAAACCGAACCGGUUUUGUUCAGUUCGGGUCGGUUUUUUAGCAUAAAAACCAGAAAAACCGGACUGAUCUUCAUCACUGGUGAUGAGAACCAUUCAGAAAGAACUCCGACUCCGAGUGAAGGCGGUUGCUUUGCUUCUCGAUAGCCAGUCCGGGACUGACUCUCCUUUCGCUCUUAAUGGCAGCUGGAUUGCCUAGUUUAAUGGUUGCUACUUGCUAUCUUGCAGCAGUCUUGUAUUCGCCUUUCAUCCCAUCUAUCCUUGUAAUGUCGACUGUGAUAUUCUCGUUCCUGGUAUGACUAGCUUUCCGGCAACAUAUUCAAGAUGAUGGUUCCCUCACAUCUGGAUUGUGAAACUAGAAGGGAAAGCGGAAAGGGGAAGGCUGGGAAGUGGAAAGGAGAAGGCUGGGUGGAGAAAGUGAGUGAUUUAAGGUUCUGAAAAGGAAAGGGGAAGGGGAAAAAGGGGAAGGCUGGAGGGGAAGGGGGGGUUGGCGGCUGGAAAGUGGGAUUUAAGGUUAGGGAUGGUUCUUUUUAUACUUUUUUUUUUAAACCGGUUCGGUUUAGUCCGGUUCAAUCGAUUUAAGCUUUUUUAAAUUGAAACCGAACCGAGUGGUUUUUUUAAUUUUUUAAUCGGUUUAUUCGGUUUUUUUAUCGGUUCGGUUUUUUCAGUUAAUUUUGUUCUCGGUUUUUCCGGUUUAAUCGGUUGAUCGGUUUUUUUAACACCCCUACUAGGUGCAGGUCCGAAGAGACACCUGCAGCCUUACCAUGCCCCCACCAAAUAAAUUUGUUAUUAUUCGGUGUAGGGUCUGCAGCCUUACCAUGCCUCACCAAACAAUACAAUCUAUAGUGAAAUUACUCACAGUUUACAGUAAUUCACUCUACAGUACUAAUAAUGCAAUCCACAAUGAAAACACUCACAAUCUACAAUAAUUUACUCUACAAUAAAACAUUGAUCCCUUUUAGUUAUAGCUAAUAUGCAUGUGCAAUAUGAGGAGUUCGUCCCUUGGUACGUGUGUAUCCUUGUGGAUAUGGUAUUUGGCAAUAGGUACACCCGGAACAAGUUUUAAGGGGUGUUUGAGAGUGUGGCAGAAGUUGUUUUUCAAAAAACUUUUUGUUUGGAAAUGCAUUAAAAUAAUAGUUUUUUAUUUUUAAAAAUUUUAUUUUUGACAUCGGCAAAUCAAAACAAUCUAAGAACAAAACAAAAAAAAAACCUAAUUUGAAGAAAAAAACCCUCAGAUUUUGAUAAAAGUAGGUUCAAUCUUAAUGUCAAAUAAGCACUUACUAUUAUAUAUAUAAACCCAAAUUCAAAAUUAUUAUUCAUAUACACACAUUACAUAGUAGGUAUGGGUUGUCGCGGGGGCACGCUGCGACGUCGUCGUUGGCAACGAAGGCUUUAUAUUGUGCCUCUUAAUGAGGUGUGGUGUGUUGGGAAGGGUUUUGGAUUUAAUCAUAAAAUUAUAAUUAAUGUUUUGGAAUAACCACUUAAUAUUAUGAUCACUAAGAACCUAUGGUAUGCAAAAGUCUAGGUAAGGGACUGGUUGUACAAGGGGAAUACACAUCACCUCUAGUGCACUCUACAUGUGGUAAACUGCAUUGUUGUUUGAUUAUUUUUUUCCAAGUCGAGCUUCUAUUCGUUGGUCUUUUCUAAGAUUCAAGGUACAUCUCUUUUUAUGAGAAAAUCUCUAUCUUAUUGGGUUAAAUCCUAACCUUUCUAAAGUUUGAAUUUUAACAUCGCAUUUAUUUACACCUUGUAUCUUUAAUACCAGAGGGUAUAAUUUAUCGUGUAAUUUUACAUCCCACAAAUAUUAAAGUCUACAUCUGGACCCUAAAAAGUAGAUUGGAAAACGGUUUUUGAUAUUUAUAGUGUUGAUAAUGUUUAUGUUGGGUGGUGGUGGGGUUGUUGUGUUGGGUUUCUUGAAACACAUACAUGCAACAAAAACAAUAAAUUUUUUUUAAAAAAAUUAGAGUUUCAAGGAUCCUAUUAGAUAGAUCUAGAGUUAUUUAAGGUUUAUACGAAGAUAACCUGAAGAUUAUAUGCUCAUUUUGGUUUUGAAUAUUUAUCUCAAGAAUGAGUUAUCACAAACCACAAGUCAUUCAAGUGUUAUGCCUCUAACAAUAAUUCAUAUAAAUCACUAGCGAAAAAUCUCUUAAACCCUUUUAACAAAGAGAGAUUGUUAUACCUUAAAGUGCUAGCUUUUUUCGUUUGUGUUUUAAGUGUUUUUAUAUUGUACUCUAUUCACAUUCUCUUUCUAAGAAAAUAAAAGGCAUAACAUUCCAUUUACAGGGGAACAUAAAAACCCUAUAAAUGGUAAAUUAUUAAUUUUCCCCUUAAAUAAUAUCACAUAUAUAUUUUAAGGAUAAUUUUACAAUUUUAUUCUAUCAAGUUAUUAUUUGAUUGUUUCUAGGUCUAGAAUUGUAGUCCCUUUUAUUAUUAUAAUCCUUAAUAUCUAAAAUUUAUUUGUAAUCAAGUCAAACUUAAUUAAUCAUCAUAUUUUAAUUUCUAGCAAAUAGUUCUUAUGUGUGUGUGACUUAUUAGGGUUGAUUUGGCAUGUCUAAAAGCAAUCUGGACAACUGGUAAAAAUAUAGAUUGAUUAAAAAAAUUAAAGACAAAAUUUUUAUUUAAAAUAUUGAGAUGACAACAUAUUUAAAUGACCCAAGUCAACCUGUCAAACCUGCAUCUUGGUUAUAAGACCGUGAUAACCGUAUAGAAAGUAAAUCAAAAUAAAUUAUGAGGUCCAAUCCCUAAUAAAUUUAGUGUUUAAUGAUAAAAUUGAAAAAAACAUAAUUACAAGUUAACCCGAGUAACCCGUCAAACCUGUGGCCUGGAUCAUGAAAUUGGGAUAGCCUCAUAAAAAAAUCAAAACAAAAUAUAAAGAUCAAUUCUCAAUCAACUCAAUGUUAAAUGAUAAAAUUGAGAAAAAAAACUAAUAUAAAAAAGAAAAAAAAAAGCCAUGCAUCUCAUUUUUUAUUAUAUUAGGCGGUGGAUGAGCAUCUUCCUCCCUUUAAUUUCUUUUUGAAAAACCACAGACAAUGUGUCAUUUGCUACCCCCAAAAUCCGACAACUCUCUCUAAAAAUUUAUUUAACCCAUUUUGAUAAAAUAAAAAAUAAAAAAACAACCUAGAGACAUGAACAAACACAUUCAUACCUUUAAACAACCCAAAAAUCGAUUAAAAAAAUCAAUCUUAAUUAAAAAAAAACCUUUUAAUUUCAUAUUUACUCUCUUAUGCAAAAUAAAGGUCAAAACACACCCUUGUAGAACACCUUUCAUCGAAUGAAACCCAUCAAUAUAAAAAUCAAUCUUCUUUGUGGCAAGAAUUGGUGUCAAUCUAUGAUUUGUUUUUUCUAGCAUAAAUUUCGAUGCAUCUUUCUCAAAUUAAGUAACUGAAAAAUUAAAGAAAUAAAUUUUAUAUUAAAAGUGAGUUUUCAAAAACUAAAAAGGUUGAAAAUUUAUCAAUUGAAAAGUAGAUUAACCAAAAUUAACUUUUUGUCCCAAUAAUUUUCCUAUGUUUUUAACUCUGAUCUCCUUUUUUUUUUUAAAUUUUAUCAUCCCAUAACAAGUAAGAAGCUAUUGGCCACUAAUUUAGCAAAAUCUAUCCCAACCGUCAAAUCCGGCAACUUCUAAGAGAACACUAGAGAAAUAUCGAAGCAAAUAACGAUUUGGAAUUGGGAUGAUACCAUGACGAGAAUGGAAAAUAAAGAAAAGAAAAAAAAUAGACCACCGAAGCAUAAUUUUGGCUCUUUCAAAAGGAUUAAUCCAUAAAGAAAAAAGUUUGAUUACAAAAAUGAAAAAAGAAAAAGUUCAAAUUGUAAGAGAGAGUAUAGUGAAAUUGGCCACAGCCACAUCUUAAUUUAUUUUAACGUCAUUGUAAUUAUAAUUGUAAUUGUAAUUGUAACGGUAAUUGUAAUAUCGGAAAAGAAAACAAAGAGGGGAAAUAAAUGAAACUGCACUGCAGCAUAAAGCCCGGCCCAAACGUAGUGGUCCACCGCCAAAUCCAGUCCAAGUUCAGCUAAGUGAGCGAGUGAGUGACUAAUCUCCAAGCACAACCAUUAUCCCUGAAAAUCUCACGCUCAGAGUCAGAGGAAGCAGCAGUAAAACAUUCAAUGGAUAGAGAAUGGGGUUCUAAGCCAGGCAGCGGAGGCGCCGCCUCCGCCCAGAACGAGGCAAUCGACCGCCGUGAGCGUCUCAGACGUCUCGCCCUGGAGACAAUCGAUCUAGCAAAAGAUCCCUAUUUCAUGCGCAACCACCUCGGCAGGUACAGUAGAGUUGUAUUUUGUAUUAGGUUUAGGUUUAGUUUUUUUUUUUUUUGAAAAAAUAAUUAAGUUGAUUGAUUAAUUGUUUGUUUGAGGUAUUUGUAGUUAUGAGUGUAAGCUGUGUCUGACUUUGCACAACAAUGAAGGAAACUACUUGGCUCACACACAAGGGAAGCGCCAUCAGACGAAUUUGGCUAAGAGAGCUGCUCGUGAGGCUAAAGAUGCGCCUGCCCUUCCUCAGCCUAACAAGCGCAAGGUUAACAUUCGCAAGACAGGCAAGUCUCCAGUCUCCUUCCCUCCCGUUUUAGUAUGUAGUGGAUAGGAACUAUGUUGAUUGGUUUGGUGUUGAAGGUAGAUUAACACGCAUACAAAACUCUAACCUUGUUUUCAUUAGAUCAAUGAGUGGCUUUGAGAAGUAUGAAAGAUCAUGUUGCUUAAUAAAAGAAAAGUGGAGUACUUGUUUGGGUGGUAGUUAUUGAAAAAGCCACUACUAAUGGCAUGGUGAAUUCAUAUCUGAUUGGAGUUUAUUUGCCUAAGAAUCUCCUUAAUCUGAUAUUUUGGCUUCAAAGUAAAAUGUACUGCAUGGACUAUUUUGAUUCUUAUAAGAUUAAGAUCCAGGUAGUGCCGUUGCUCAUAUAUUUAGUAAUGUCCCUUGAAAAAGCUUUGGAAAAUAAACAGUGGUAGCUUAUUGAGGUCAAGGGCUACAAAAGGUCUUGAAUGAAAAAAAAACAGAAAAAAGGGAGGAAAAAGAAAGGAAAUGGGUCAGGUUCUUGAGAUUGGUUGUUUGUAGUUUCUGGUGACAGUUAAACUUAAAGGCCUCAACUUAGAACCAAACUGGCUUUCUUAGGAUUUCAUGCUGCUGCACAUAUUGCAUGGCUUGGCAAGAAAUAUUGAAUUUGGAGCUUGGGUUUAGUGUUAACAGACCUAUGCAAACAAUAACACUGUUUGGUGGAAAGCAAAACAUUCUGUGGUGCUUUGUGUUUUUGUUCUAGCUUUAUUAUGUCAAGGGUAUUGUGGUAAUUGUUGUUUAUGAGUAGUCUGGAGUAUGAUGAUUCCGUCCAACUUGGAAACAUGUUCUUAUAAAAGUUCCAAUUUGGAAACAAAAGGAGUCUCUCUUUAGACAAAUUCUGUGGAUAUGAACUUUACAGUAAGAAUUUGGUUCAGUGUAGUGAUCUCUACUGUUGAGCACUAAUCACAGUGUUUCCUUAGAGAUUUGUCUGAAUCUUUGUCUGAGAAUGAAUUAUUUAUGUGCAUCCUUCAUAUCUUAACUUAAUCAUAAAAAUCAAUACUAUAUUGAGACCUCAGAUUGGUUCUUAACUUCCUAACUGAUAACUGUGUAGAUGUGACUUGGUUUAGAAUGCAAGCUAGGAAAUUCCUACUGUCCUGGCAAGACAUGGUGGAGGUGAGCUUGUCUGUAUGUUGCUUCACAAAGACAUUGUACUUCUAGGUGUUGACUACAUCUAAAUUGUAUCACUUCAUAUAUUGUUGUAGUAUUUCAAAUUUUGUAAGAUGGCAGUGUGGGUACUUGAUCAUAAACUUAAGAGUUAAUGUUUUUGUCUGUCUUUGUCUUUGUGCAGUCAAAAUUGGCAGGCCUGGUUACCGGGUGACAAAGCAAUUUGAUCCAGAGACAAAGCAGAGGUCUCUUCUCUUCCAGAUUGAAUAUCCUGAGAUAGAGGACAAUACAAAGCCUAGGCAUCGAUUUAUGUCAUCAUAUGAACAGGUAAUCUCCAUUUUUGUUUUUCUUAACUCUCUUUUCCAUUGAUCUCUUACCUUCUGCACAUGUUAAGUGACAAAAAAAAUUAUUUGGUUGGAAUUACUUAUGAAUUACCACUCAGCCUUUGCUUAAAACUUAACUUUAUCAUUGAUUUUGUCUGUAACUGCAAUAAUCAAAUGGAGAAACCAAAAGCAUUAUCUGUUGCAAUCAAAGAAAAACAAAGUGAUAGAAACUGUUAUUUAUAAAAUUGUUGGCAAACAUAUUGGUCAACUCAAGCAGCUUGUUGAAAUCUAAUGAUGUAAAAAACUAAGCCAUUCAUAACUUUUACAAGCACUCUCUAAAAUUCAUCCCAUGUCUGCACUGUUUAUGGUAAACAUCUCUGCAUAAAUUAUUUUCUUUAAUCUUGCAUUGCACUCGAGAUGAAUCAUGUUUUAUCCUUUGAUUAAUAUCGGCCCCCUGGCUUAUGUUUUUCCUGUUAGAUGAAAACUAUGAUCAGAUCCUUCUAACUUAAUUUAUGUUGUCAUGGAUACAGAGAAUUGAGGCCAAUGAUAAGAGGUUUCAAUAUCUUUUAUUUGCAGCGGAACCUUAUGAGAUCAUUUCUUUCAAGGCAAGUUGAAAGAUGUUCAUUGCAUGUUUCUUUCUUUUAAGUUGAUGGUUAUUUCUGGAAACAUUUAUCAUUUGUGCUUGUUUAUUUAAUAAUCCCAGGUUCCUAGCACAGAAAUUGACAAGUCUACUCCUAAAUUCUUCUCACAUUGGGAUCCAGACUCCAAGAUGUUCACAGUUAGUAUUUUAAUUCUUGCUCAACUACUUCAUGUGUUUUGAUUGUCAUGCCUUGGGACCCUGUAUAUUCAUGUUAUAUUGAAAUUUUGAAUUAGUCUUUUGCGAAUUCUCACUGUGUCUUAUUUAACUUGGCCUGCACCGAGAACAUUAAGAGACCUGGAUCAAUUCUAGAUUUCACUCCUCUGGGUGCGAUGCCCAUGUUCAAGAUUUCAUUAGUUAUGACAUCUUCAUAAAACAAGUGGACAAAAGGGUUAUCCACAAGUGGAAUCUAUUUGGAUUUUAGUACAAACUUUGCUGUCUCUUUGGAUUAGUUCGUAAUCUGGUUUUACAAAUAAAUAAUCUGUUAAUUGUGAAUAUAUGUUGACUCAAAUGUCUAAUGUACAGUUGCAGUUAUAUUUUAAAUUGAAGCCACCAGAGACGAACAAACCUCAAUCUGUUGCUGCAGCCAAUGGCACAAUGCCUUCUCAACCACCACCACCCCCGCCACUGCAAGGACUAGCCGCAGGAUCAAGACCCCCACCACCACCACUGCCUGCAUCAUUACCCCCUCCUCCUCCCAUGGGUAAUGGCCCUAGGCCUAUGCCUCCAGGUGGAGCUCCACCUGCCCCGCCUCCACCUCCUGGUGGCAGUGGUGCAAUGGCGAAUUUCACACCUGGCAAUCAGGUGGGUAGACCUCCAAUGCUGCCUCCCCAAGGUUUUCCAGGGCAACAGAUGCAGGGCCAGGUUAUGCGUCCACCCCCACCACCUCCCAACAUGGGACAGUAGGUGCCCUAGCUUAAUGUUUUUGUGCACAUUUACGUAGUUAAAACAAUCCUUGGAUUGAAUUGAUGGAUGAUUGUUUGAAGAUCUGAAUGCAUUAUGCAACUCUUGCCGCUUAACUUAGCAAGAAGGCUUUGAUUGUGUCAUUUUGGAAAAUCUAAGAAAGAAUAAGCUGCAUAGUUUUUAUUUCCUUGAACAUGCGCGCUAUGAUCUUGAGGGUGCAAAGCAGGACCAACAUGAGCUUUGCUUACCCACACGCUUAGCCCCUUGAGCUCUUAAAUUAACCAACACGCUUUCUGGAGCAGAGAUGAUGGCGAAACUUGUGUUCACGUAUAUGCAAAACUAUGUUUUUCGUUUUCGGCCCAAUUUAUGUAGUGGUUUCCUUUCUUUGUUUCACUUGGCCUUAACGACAAGCCUAGUCUCAUGGGAUUUGACUCCCCUCGAUGAUAUGUUGUAAUGCUUAAACCUGGCACUCUCAUCUAACUUGUUAUUUGGUUUGGUUGUUUUCCUUGUUCAUUAUAUAUAAAUAUAAAAGGUAUUAGCCUUUCAUUGUACGAAUCCAACAUGAUUUAUCUUUGGUGGGAUAGCAUGGGUUUAGGGGUUGGUAAUUUCAUAUGUUUUAGCUACAACAUAACUACUAAACGGUCCCUGAAGAAAAAAAACAAUUCUUUUUAGGUUAAGGGCUUUUCUGGUUUUGCAUAUAUUUUUUGUACUGGUCAUUUACUUAAAUGUUUUUAAAAGAUAAUUAGGUUUUUCUUGAAAGAAUUGGUCAGUUCUUAGUGAACCUAAGGGCCUUUUGGGUUUUACAUAUUAUUUUUUUCGUGUUUUUCACGCGCCAGCAAGUUAAUGUUGUCCGUUCCUUUUGGAUUAGAUAUGUUGUGCCACCCCAUUAUUAUGGUUCAGCUCAUGUAUAGCGAAGAGUAGUGGUGGAGUUCUGGCAACGAGUUUUUUCCUCCCCUCUUUUUCCUCUAGAAGACCUUGCAAAAAUACAACAAAGCAUGUCUAUUUGUUUGUUAAGUUAAAUUAGGUUUUUAUUUUUUUAAUUGCAAUGUAUUUUGCCUUGAAUCAUUUAUUGAGUUGAUUUGAUUUUUCAAUUUCAUCGUUUUACACUUAAUUUUUAUAUCAAAUUUGAUCUUUAUUUUUUUAAUUAUAAUAUGUUUGGUCUUGAAUCAUUUAUUAAGUUAAUUUGUUUUUCAAUUUGAUCCAUUUACACUUGAUUUUUAUAUUAGAUUUGGUCAUCAUUCUUGUAAUUGUGAUAUAUUUGAUCUUGAAUUAAAUUGUUUUUGAAUUUCAUCUCGUUAUAUUUUAUUUUUAUAUCAAAUAUGCUUCUCAUUCUUUUGAUUGUUCUUAUCCUUUUCUUAAUUGAAAUUGUUUUUCAAUUGCAUUCCUUAUGAUUUUUUUUUUGUCAAAUUUGGUACCCUUGCUUUUCAAAUCUAUAUUUUUUAAAUCACUUUUGUUUUUUAAAUUUGUUUUUUCAAGUUUAUUCCUAAUUAUUAUGGUUGGUUGGGAAUUUUACAUUGUUAAUUUUUCAGGUUUGCCUUUUAUAUUGCGGUCGAGCUUUAUGAUUCGUGUCACGGGUCUUAAAGAUUAAAUUGGGUUAACUCCAAUUGUUUUUUAUUUUUUAAAAUAAUUUUAUCUAUCAGACAAAUUGGUAUUCUUUUUUGUUUUGGAUUCUUUUGUAAAUUUGAUUUUUCUUCUUAAUUUUGCUCUUCAAUUCAAUAUUUAAUAAUAUUUAUGGUUUGACCCUGAAUGUUUUGAUUUUUUAUUUUGAUUCUUCACUUUUUUUUAUCGUAUUGUAAUUUGUUUUCGAUUUCAUUCUUAGACCAAAUCCAAAUGAAUCCCCCAAGCUCGAUUCAUUUGUUAAUUUUAAUUUUUAUUUUAUUUUUUUCUUUCAAUUCAAAAUUUUGGUUUAUUCUCUUAAGGAUUUUUUCGAAUAAGGUCCUUAUUUUCUUAAUUGCAAUUUUUAUCCUUCAAUUUUUUUUAAUUUUAUUAUUCGACAUUUUAUUUAUUGGGAUUUGAUCUCUUUGGUUUUUCUCAUUGUUUCUCGACCCUAUCUAAGAGUCAAUCAAGGACAAUUAUCAGGUCAUGGGUCGGGUGAAUUGAUUUGAGUUAACCCAAGUCAAUCAAUUCUUUUUGUUUUAUAAAAAAGUUAAAAUGAUAUCAUUUUGGGGAAAAAAAUUAAUUAAUAGGUUUUGGCUGGAUUUUUCCUAGGUUAACCAAAAUAUGGAUCAAUCGGGUUUUUAUUGUAUUACACUGGAUCAAUUCUUCUUCAAUUUCUUUUCAAAUUGGUCUUUUUUAUUAUUUUUGAUUUUAUCCUUCAAAGUUUGAAUACUUAGAACUUAAAAUUAAACUUCAUUUAUGUUAUGUUUUGUCUUUUGUUAGAUUAACAUGCUCACAUAAUUAUAUUCUCGAGUUUUAACAACCUCACUUGAUUUUAAUGAUAUUGUUUUUUAAUAUAUUUUUUUUAUUUUAUCUUUCUAUAUUUUAAUUCCUAAAAAUGAACUAUCAUUUUUUUUUUUUUAAGUUUUCUUUCUACAAUGUUGAGUCAUGAAUUUUUUUUGUUUUUUAAAAUGCAAUCAGAACGCUUGAGCUUUGUUUUUUUAAGAUGUAAAAAAAUUAUCCCGGCAUGCAACGAAACACAAUUUAUCUAUCUAGUUUUUUUUUAUUAUAACUUGUGUCUGUUUUCAUGUUUAUAUGCAUUUUUUUUUUUAUUAUCGCUAAAAAACCUAAAAUGACCAUGAAUUAUGAGUAAUGUUCAAGAUGAACUCUUCAAGUAUUAAAAAGACACUAAAGAAAAACACACGACUGGUCCGAGAAUAGCUUUUAGCAUUAAAUCAAACACAUUUACAGUGCAUGCUUGCACAUGAAUUUAACUCGGGUCACAUGAUAAUGGAAAUACAUUUUGAAGCAUUUAAGCUCAUGGUUCUCUGACAAGGUAAAAACAAAGGCAAGGUGCAUAAAACGCAUCCAGACUAAAAUGUAUCAACUUGUAAUGACAUUAGGAGGGAAAACCUUUUGAAUGAACUCUAGGAAGCGUCUGGAGUAGAAAGUUGGAUCCACAGCCGAGAUAGACAAGGAAUCAAAUUGAAGAGAUUUGUAUGCGUGCUCAAUCUUCUUACUCAUGUUGUAUUCUUGCAAGAUAUCAAUGAUGCCUAGGUACAGAACAACAUCAUAUGCUUCAUGAAAUGUCUGUUUUUCCUCUUCCCCUGGAAUCUGCUCUGCCCUGGAAGGCAUGUUCACCCCAAGCUGGAUUUGGAGCCUGCUCAACAGGUAUAAAAAUAACAAAUGAUGAAUCAUUGAAGUAAAACACAUCCAUCCAAUAUAGCUUUUUAAAUGCAGAAGAUAUUUGUUCUGUUUGGCAUGCUUAAUUUGUUGGAAGGAUGAAAUAUAUAGAAACACUUACGUUGUGCAAUUGCCUCGUUCAUAAAAUAUCUAGGGCAACUACUCGAAAAAGCUUUACAAGUAUUUUUGGCAGUGCAGAAAGAAAUAUACAUGCUCCUGUGGAGCUUCUUACGAAUAUAAUUGGAUGGGGUUGGAUGCCAUACCUUGCUGUGCCGGGAAGGAGGAGAUCCACUUCCUCAUCACCAGCUGAUGAUGCUCGUAAUCUGCUACCCCUAAUGUGAGGACCCACGACAACACUAUCAUCACCUGUUCCUCGAGGAACCAGGACGAGACCUUGUGGGUAGUUCUCGUCCUCUAUAGUAUCUGUCAGUGAAAUAUGAACAACAAUUCCCAUAUCAAAAUAUAUUCAGAACAAUGCGGUCAUAUCACUGUCCAGACAAAAUAUGACAGAUGCCAUGUGUAAUUUAUGGUAUAUUGGUUCCAAAGCUGACUUAUGAUGUGCACAUUUAUAUAAAAGAAAUGAAGAGAGAUCAUUUGGAUGCUGCUAUUAAACUCCUCCUAGCCAAGCAGCAACUUUCGAAUUUUUCAUCAAGAAAUAACUUAAAAUCAAACACAAACAAACUUAAGAGUCUUUAGUUAGAGGCACUAAGCCUAAAACCUAGGACAUUAAGAACAUUCAACUUUUAGCCUGCAGUACAAAUCAUCAUGCUCCCUUCCUCAUGGUUUAAUCAUAAUUAAAAAAAACUUUUUAUCAAAAACAUAUUUGCAAAUUAACUUUUCAUGUUCAGUUUCUUUUAUGAUUUUUUCCACUUUCUCCAGCUUUGCUUCAAGCAGCCUGAACAACAUGCUAAAAGAACAUCAAAUAUAAGUGUCUAAGGCACCCACCUUCCUCUGCUAGAACUCCCAAUCCUUCAGCAGUUAUACUUCGAUUGUAAGACAUUAAAGACCGUAAGUGUUGUGGGGCUCGAUAAUGCACACCCAGCAAAAGGCUGUAAUCCAUGAUGUGCUGCACUUCCAAAAAUUUGCUAUCAAUCUCAAUCUGCCUGAAUAAAGAUGCAGACCAAGCAAAAAGCAAAAAACAAAAGGGUUAGCAAGUUGCAAUGAACUCAAGAGUCUAGGAAGAAUAUCAGUCUGAAACUUGGAAAGCCAGCCAUGCCAGGCCUUGCAAGGCAUGUGCAAGGAGAUUAUCAUUGUAUAAUAGAAAAUAUGGAUACUGAUGAUAACAUUGUUUCACAUACAUAAACUUGCAAACUUAGGAAACACAAUAUACAAUAUAAUUGAAAGCAUCACUCACUGUAAUAAAGCUUCACGCCAAGAAGGUUCCAAAUAGAAGCAGUAGUUUAGAUCCAAAUCUUUAAGUGUUGUGUUCUCUUCUAUCUCAACAUUCUCUGUAGACCGUCCUAAAGAUGACCCUUUCAAAUCAAACCGUCGAUGGAUCCUUAAUUCUGUGCAGAACAUAUUUCCCAUCACUACAAAGCGAAACUGCAAUACAGGAAAUAGUUCCCAAUCUUAGCUUUUUUAAACAGGUGUUCAUAUAUUAAGCUUUAAGAUAGGAUAAUAAUGGCUUGAUACAAGUUGGAUUAAAGUGUUUCUCGAACUAAUUGCACAUAGCAAAUGGAAGUAAGCAAACAUCUCAUGGGAUUAUGAUAAAUAAAAAAUGCCACUACCUUUUGACCGCUUGAAGGUUUAAUCCUGUGAAGACCAAAGAAUUUUGUUAUGAGUGUAUUCUCAUACGACCUCACAUGAUGAUGAUAAUCCGGCAACAUUUUCAGAAGCACCUAUAUAUAAGAACUCUGGUGAGUAAAGUUGUAAAUGUAACAGUUCAAAAGGAAAAGCAACUAGAAGUGCAAGCAGAAGAAAUUUAUUUGUUUAAAAGACACUUUGUUAGUUGCUAAAUAAACAGUUCAAAAGGUAGCAGCAAUAAUGCUUGAAUAUGAAGUAGGAGAGGUUCGCUGUUCAGAAUGGACAUUUAUGAUCCGUUUGUUCACUGACAAAAUUAAAACCUGACUAGUCCUUUGUCUUGCAUUUAAGUUACUGGGUCUA